UUUGAGACAAUAAUAGACGGUAAGUUCUGUAUCUGAAUGUGUGUAUAUCAUUUUGUGAAGUAGUUCAUGGUGGCUGAUUGCAUGCCAAAUCCAAUUUGUAUUUAGUAGGGCUGGCAUGUGUGGGGUCAUCACCACCACAAGGUUUUAGAAGCACUUCGCAAGCGCGAGGGAGUCAUUGCGUCUGAUCAAGUUAGGUCUGGUGAACCCAGAUGUGCUUCUAUUACCUAAUUCUGUACGGUCAUUCUAUACAAUGUAAAUGAUGCCAUGCUAACUCAAAUUGAUGGGUGGCCUGCAAUGCAGCCAGGUCAGAUGGCAAGCUGCCAUUGAACAUGUCGGCAGCAGAAGGCAUUAGGAGGCGGCAGAAGAGGUGUGCAAACAGGGGCAGCAGGCAGUAUCGUCAGAGGAGAUGCCUAACGCGAUCAAGCAGGCAUUUGUCACCUCGAAAAGCUCUGAUGAAUAUGAAGAUCCGGCUGCAAUCAAGCUACAGGUAUUGGCAGAGCUGAACUUUAGCAGUGAUAUUUGUUCACUUUGGAAAAUAGUAGUACUAAUCAUUAUGUUUGUCAAGUGCCACACCCAGGAAAGAGGACAAAGAAGCAAGCAGGGCCUACUCCAGCAAGGCCAACAUCAGUGCCCAGAACUGCUUCUCAACCAGUUGGAAGGGGAAGCCGGAGGAGUCACAACAGGGCAGGUUGAAGCUCCAGAUAGCCUGCUCCAGGAGUUCAAGCUCACAGCAAGUCCGAAGGCAUAACAGCACUGGGGAACAUUGAAUGCCUAGCUUUGCUUCUCAAUCUGUGUGCAUUUUGUUCAUGUGAAAAUUAAGUCUCCAGCCCUUUGUGGAUGCACCUAGGAGCCAUUCCCAAUUUCCGCCUUUUAUGGAUGUUUAGUAUUGUCAAAGACCUUAAGCAUUUGUAUGGUUACUUAUGAGUAAGGAUUAUUAUGUGACCUGAAGCUUAUCUGAAAGUGUGAUAUGCCUGUCAAUUUCUUAAAGUGCCAUUGCUGUAAAUUUAUUCUGAAUUCGAUGUCAAUAAUUUGUACAGUUCCGGUUAACUUGUGAAUUUGCUGAGUGAAAGUCAUCGAAAACAUGAGCGAACAGAGACGGUCAUCGCAUAUGCGUGGGCGUGGCAUACAUGAUGACUUAUUUGACCGCAUGUCGGGUGACAGCAUGGCAACUGAAGGGGUUUUCUGUGAAGUCCCAGCCCAGUUCUUUUAGUCAGCUUCUAGUGCUGCUCGCCGGCGCCUGGCCAGCUUCUAGUCAGCUUCUAGUGCUGCUACUGGCCGGUUCCAUCUCCGUACUGCAUGCUGCUUGUUGCUUGAGCUCGCCGCACUGCUGCUUCUGCUGCUCGUCGCCACAAGCAGACUAGGCUUCCCCAGAUCGCUGGCGCAAGCAUUGCGGCUGCUCGACGCCCGGCCGGUGCAUACUGCCGCAUGCCGAUCGCCGCAUACUAGAUUCUGCUGGACAUAGACCGAUAGACGACGGACGACCUGGGAGGCUCGAUCGGUUACAGCCGGCGAUCGAGGAAGAUAUGUAUCAGUCCAGGCCUCCAGGGCCUCCGUAGGUCGUCGCCGCCACUGCCCAGGUUUUUUAGAAAAGGAGGAAUCACCCCCGGCCUCUGCAUCUGGGUGAUGCAUGCGGCCAUAUUAUUUAUUAUUCACAAAGACCUUACAAAGUAAUACAAUAGUAAGCCCGAGGCCACCAUCUAGACGACACCUGUCGUUACUCCUAUCCCCUUGAUGAAGGUGUGCUGAAUGUCCGAGCCAAAUACGAAACAGACAUCGCACGAAAGUCUAACAUCUAACGCUGGAUGCCCCAUCCAAGCCACAUAGGCGAGACUGGGUAACACUCCGGUCCGGCGCACUCUCAGUGAGUACCACAUGCACACGCUGCAAAGGGCCGUCACCUCCGUCUUCCCUCGAUCCAUCCUCAAAGCAUGUACUGACGCAUCUACCUUGUCAGGCCACUCUGCCAUCGACGCCACCACGACGUCAGACAACGUCGACCUCCUGCGCGUGUCCCUCGCCACACAUCUGACGCCAAGCCUCCACUGCUCCAUGCCGUCGAGAUCCGUCGUCAUGAAUAUGUACAAAGAAACACCGCUCCACCGCAGAUGCCAUCCACUGGUCCCUCGAGCCAGUGCAUCUCCAAGAAUGCCGCCCCCAAGGGGGUAACGACACAUGAAUGCCGCCGUCAUCCGAUCAACUGAUCUAGGGUUUUCCCGGGAGGUAUUGGGUGGGGUUGGGAGCUUCACCUCGAUGAUGCCUUCAUGAAGGAAAUGAUGAUAAGACCAUCGUCGUCACCGGCUCCAGCCAAUGACCGAAGGCCAAGUUUUCACCCGGAUCCAUUCCAAGAAAUCCACCCGACAACUUGUGCACUAUCUCGACCGCCUUCAAAGCCCCAGAUCUAGCCGCCUAGAUCCGGCGACCAACCGCAACAGCAGUGCCACCGUAGGAGCCCUGGCACACCAGCCACUGCCUGAAUGCGCCACCACUGGAGCCUGGGAGGAGGGCUCCCACCCCACCUCGCCAACCCGCGAGAGCCGCCGGGAUGGAUCCCCCACGCUCAUCACCGUCUCUGAUCUGAACCAAUCUGUGGCCAAACCACAAGAUCGUCGAUGCGGAUCCGCCUUGGAUAGGGACUGCACCACGCCAUGCCACCGCGGGAAGCCUGAGCUUCACUCGCCGCCACCUUCCAGCGCUGCCGCCCCGGGAUCCAGCCGCCACCGACAGGACGCGCCGCCCACGUGCAGCAGGCCGGAGGAGCCCCCCGAUCCANNNNNNNNNNNNNNNNNNNNNNNNNNNNNNNNNNNNNNNNNNNNNNNNNNNNNNNNNNNNNNNNNNNNNNNNNNNNNNNNNNNNNNNNNNNNNNNNNNNNNNNNNNNNNNNNNNNNNNNNNNNNNNNNNNNNNNNNNNNNNNNNNNNNNNNNNNNNNNNNNNNNNNNNNNNNNNNNNNNNNNNNNNNNNNNNNNNNNNNNNNNNNNNNNNNNNNNNNNNNNNNNNNNNNNNNNNNNNNNNNNNNNNNNNNNNNNNNNNNNNNNNNNNNNNNNNNNNNNNNNNNNNNNNNNNNNNNNNNNNNNNNNNNNNNNNNNNNNNNNNNNNNNNNNNNNNNNNNNNNNNNNNNNNNNNNNNNNNNNNNNNNNNNNNNNNNNNNNNNNNNNNNNNNNNNNNNNNNNNNNNNNNNNNNNNNNNNNNNNNNNNNNNNNNNNNNNNNNNNNNNNNNNNNNNNNNNNNNNNNNNNNNNNNNNNNNNNNNNNNNNNNNNNNNNNNNNNNNNNNNNNNNNNNNNNNNNNNNNNNNNNNNNNNNNNNNNNNNNNNNNNNNNNNNNNNNNNNNNNNNNNNNNNNNNNNNNNNNNNNNNNNNNNNNNNNNNNNNNNNNNNNNNNNNNNNNNNNNNGGACCUGACCGCGGAGGACAACCACGUGCGUCACGGAGGCUAGCUCUCACGUGUGUUGCUUGUGUUGCAUAUCUGAGUUAUUUAUCCAAAACCACCACACUUAAAGCUAGGAUAACAACUUAGUAUCACAUUUAAGCCAGGGCACAAAAAACCAUCAGAAAUACGCCUAAGAGCAAGCACAAUAGGAUGAUGUAUGCAGGAUGUAAGACUUUAAAUAUUAGAGUUGGCAGAGAGAGAAGACAAGCGGGCUUCUAACUAACAGCCGGCUGUAGCACAUGCUCCUAGACAUUUUGUGAGAGAGAAAGGUGGGCCAUGUAUCAACUAGUACAAACUUAUAUGCAUCUAUUACACUUGCCGACUAUAACGUUGGCUAUAUUAUUAACCAUGCUCUAGUGCGUAACGCAGAGCACAAAGACUAGCCACAAUGGGUAGUAAUAUAGAGUAGUAACAUGGGUCUCUAUAGUGGGGAGUAACAUAUGUGUGGUAACAUGCAACACUUCAUUUAUUAGGCUAUAGACUCAUCUUGCCUUGAUAUGUGUGAUGUUACUCAUACUAGUAGUAACUAGCUAUGUUACCACAUGCCUCUCUUUUUUCAUUUAUUGCUUGCCAUAUUAUCUAUUUUAUCUAGAUAUGUGUGAUGUUACUACCUAUGUUACUCCUAUUGUGGGUAGUCUAAUAGUUUGAUUUGCCCAUGAAAAUAGCGAAACCGACAGGUUGGCCCCAUUUGUCGGGCUGACGUGGCCUGCCAAUGUGGAUUAUUCGCUGAGGUGGCCCAAGGCCCCACCUGUCAGAUGCAUCUCUUCUUCCCCUCUCUUCCCUAAAAAUACUCCACCACAGCCAUAUCCUGCACCGCUGCCGGAGCUCAACCCCGGCGAGCCACCCCACCACCGGCGAGCCGCCCCACCACCACAUACCAUCCGUGUCGAACCGCCCUGCUGGAGCUCGAUCUACCUCCAUGGAAGGCGGAUGCAACAUCAGGCACCAGCGGCCGCUCGGAUCCGUCUCGCAUCCACCCCGCCACCCAAACUGCUGCCUGGCGCCGGCGCCGAGUCGAAGAGGAGGACGACUACAUGAGAACUCUCCUUGUGUGUUCUUGCUUCCACCGCCACUUGCUGCUAGCUUGAGUAGGCGCACGGCCUAGGACUCUUGGUGGACGCGGCGAGCACGGGCAUGGCCAUGGUGCUCCAUGACGGCGCGCGCGGCCAAGGUUUCCCGGUGGACGCCGCGAGUACGGCCAUGUCCAUCGCGCUCCACGACGGCGCACGCGGGCAUGGCCUCCCAACGAGCGCCACAAGCACGUGCGUGGCCAUGGCGCUCCACAACGGCGGGCGCGGCCACGGCGCGCGCAAGUUCCCUAGGAAAGCUCGACGGAUCCAAGCACGUUGAGGGCUGGGGCAGCGCGGCGACGACGGGGCAGCGCAGCGAUGACGGGGUAGUGCAGCGAGGUCGAGUUCAUCCAUGGCAGCUGGCAUGGCAGCAGGUUCUUGUUUGAGAGAGAGAGACACGAGGAAUGAAGGAAAAGAAAGGGGCGGCGAGAGGAGCUCUAGCGGCUUGACAGUGGCAGCCAUGUCUGGGAUUACCGCCGACCAGCGGCUUGAUAAGCGCACAUUAGCUGUUUGAUGAAAUGCCCAGGAAGAAAAUGCCUAGGAGAAAAAGAAAAAAAGGAAAAAGAGAUAAACACUCGAGUCAUUGACAGGUGUGACCCUCGUCCAACUCAGCAAAUUGUCCACAUAAGCACGCCAUGUCAGCCCGACAGGUGGGCCCCACCUGUCAGUUUUGCUGUUUUCACGACUAAAUUCCAGCAUCAGUGCUCCGUGUUACGCAUUAGACGCAUUUUUUGUGGUUUUUUGUGCCCUGGCUUGAAUGUGGUAUCAAGUUGUUACCCUAACUCCAACUGUGGUGGUCCGCCUGAGCAAAUCGAUCUGUCGGCUGUCUGCGAAUAUGUGCAGCUACCUCACCUACUCCCUCCAUCCAUGAAUAAGACCUCCUCCAAUGCACUAGUGCUAAGAUAAGGUGCUAAGCACAUUAAAAAUCUAAGCAACUAAAGUCCCCAAUGCAAAGGUGCUUGGCUUGUUGUUGCUAAGCAUCCUUUAUUUAAUGAUUUAGCAACUAAAGCUGUCCAUGCAUUGGUGGGAUUCUUUCAUUUAAGUGUUUUCCCUAGGUUCCCGCGCUUGGCAUUGUGUUGACACCAGAUUUUGGCAUGGUCACGAAUCAGGGUUCGUAUGCAAAAGUUAGAGGCAACACUUCGCGGGCCGGCCCUGAGUGAGAAAGUAUUCGGCCUUUGCUGGCUGAAUGAAACCUUGUCGGGGUAAAACCUUGCCGAUGUGAGGGCUUACCGAUGUGGAAAGCUUGCCGGCGGAGAAGCCUGCCGGCGUGGAAAGCUUGCCGGCGAAGAAGCUUGCCGGUGUGAAAUCUUGUCGAGGGAGAAACCUUGCCGAAGAGGAACUCUUGCCGGGGUAGAAUCCUUGCUGAGGAGGAACUCUUGCUGGGGUAGAAACCUUGCCGAGCUAGGGAGAACCCUUGCCGGUGUAAAAACCUUGCCGGGGUGAAACCUUGUCGGUGCGGAAAGCUUACCCGGGUGGAAGGCCUGCCGGGGUGGAGGUUGUGAUAGUCAAUCCGACCAGAAGCUGAAGAUGGGCUCAAAUGAUUAUCUAGAUGGACUCAAAUGGAGAAGUGAUCUACAUGAAAGAGUUCCGUAUUAUUGAUAUGAACAUCUUUGAAAUUUGGGUUAUUGCCGUCGGAUUUCAUCUCGAAGGCCGAAACUAUGCUCGAAGUACCAAGAUCUUAUAUUCAAAGUACAGUUUAGCUGAUUAAGCCCCCAAGACGACCUCAAAUGAAAAAAAGAUCUACAAGGGUUGUCUUCGUCUCGUCGAAACGAUCGAUUUUGAUAUAAAAAUUGUUCAAAUCCGAGUUCGUAUGUAAAAGUUAGAGUAAUCGGAGUGCAGCCCUGUCACGAGGCGAGACGUGGCGCGCCCCAUCAGACACAUGUCUGACGGGUAGCGCGAGGAGAUAGCCUGUGUUGCGAGACCGAUCUGACCCUCAAGAUGAUAUCUGAUCAAAAAACCUUCAACAUGAAAGUUGUUCGUCUCAUCGAAACGGUUAAGAUUGCUUUUGGGCUUGUUUUCAUCCGAGAUCGUUUACCACCGCAAAAAGGACCCGCAAGGUGCAGCCAGUUUAAACCGAACAGUUUUGGAAAGUUCGGAUAAAACCAGUCCGAAUUUGACUAGGGUUUUGGACGUGAAUUGAUAUAAUUUUCUUGUAAGGAAAGCCUAGAUAAAUUCUUUGCUUGUACAGGAAGUCCAGCCGCCUCUUAUAUAUGUUGGGGGUGACGGCCGAUUGAAACAACACCAAUCGAAUCAAUCUAUCAAUUACACUUUUGUGUUCAUCUACUUUUACUCCUUACCCUUGUAUCUUUCUUUCUCGUUCUUCCUUCGUUCUUCGCGUUGGAGGGCAGCGAUCCACGAGGCUCUAGGGGUGAGCGAAUCGACCUAGGGCAGCCCAUAGCCGCCGCAAUCCCUGACGGGGUCCCUCCCGGGUGCGCGGGGUUUCGGGUCUGCAAAAGCGCCCGCCGGCUGUCCUGCGUAUCGCGCUGUUGGUCGGGUCUCCUUCGACGUGAGCUGCGGUGCAUCACCCCCGGCGUCGAGGGUACACAGGACGUGUUCGUGUGUCAACACACUUUUUGGCGACUCCGCUGGGGACGAAGCUUUGAACAGCCUCCAACCUGUUCUUGCUACGAGGGGAGCGUCAUCAAGCGGCUGCAAUCUACAACGGUAACAUGUAUCAUCAAUCUCCUUGCAUAGAUGCAAGUAGCCAUUAUGUUGAUGUUGCUAGAUCUUUCAACGGACAUGUGAUGUCGGCCAGCCCUAAUGAGCAAAGGCCGACUAGUUAUUCCAUUGGAGAAACUUGGAAUUUACAGAAUCGUAACAUGCAACUUAUGAAUCUGAACUUUCGUGCAUCGGCAACAUCUUUCAAUAUGCCGGUGAACAACACGAUUUGUUCGAGUGAUCAAUAUAGAACACCUCAUGUACAGGAGGGCAUCUCAAAGUUUUAUCCAUCGGCAACCGACUCGCAAUAUGCGGGUUCAUCCCCAAACAUGCCGAUGAAUGGGGGAAUCGGCCAUGCUUAUGUUAGCUAUUUGGCCAGUUAUCCUCAAACAUCAUAUACUACACCUCAUCAGAUUAAUUGUUCAGUGGCGUAUAAAACUAAAAAUAUUCAUGACUCAGCUCACCUUCACGGUCAUGGUCGAGUGAAUGGAGAUUCUAUAAGAGCAUAUGUGCCUAAUAUUGCAGGAGAUGAGGUGGCUCUGGCUGCAUUAAAAUUUUUAGCCCAAAAUAAGAAGAUUAGUGCUAUUUGCCUUGAGCAACAUGACAAGGGAUUGGUUCCUGAUUAUGAGGCAAUAAGAGCUAGGGUUUUGAAAGAAGACCAAGUGUUGCCGAUUGAUCAAAUUGUCGAGAGAAAAUAUUCAACAACGAUGCACAUGCCUUCACCUAUCAUUGCAGCAUGUUAUACACCCCCUAUACAAGCGCAAAAUUUCGGCAACAUCAAUUCAUUGCUGAAAAAUCCUAAAAGUAUUGGGGGGGCAAGCCGAUCCAAGCAGGGUUGAGUUUAAAGAAAAAUAUCUGGCCCAAGUGGACAAGAUCAAGCCAAAGCUCACAGGGAAUAGAGUCAACGAAUUUACUACACCUACCCUUGAGGAAUUACUAGCAGAAUAUCGAAAGGCCUACGAAGCACUUAAGAAGAAGCAUGGAGAGGGAUAUUUGCAAGAAUACGUCAAGUGCCUUCCUCCAUGUAGCAACCAUGUUGGCCCUUCUACACUGUUGAGGCAAGAUAAAAAAGAAGCUUUACAAGCAAACUAGCAAAAAAGGAUUCACUCGGCUAAUAUGGUGGAUUCGGUUGAAACCGGAUUGAGCAACGGGAUGUUUAAGGCCAAGUGCGUUGCAUCAUGCCGACCGAGUGCAUCGUUCCAGACGAGUGCAUCACCAGCUAAAGCCGAGUGCAUCAAGCCAACUAUUGCCUCGUGUACCAAAAUAGAAGAUGCAAGCUUGGCUGAGCAAAGGAACGACAAACGCAACAAAUUGGUUGUGCUCAAUUUUUCUGGAUGUAAGGAAGCUUACAUGCUACCUUAUGAGUUUCGUGCUAAAGAUAUUGAUGAGCAUCAAGAACACAGUAAUAUGGCUGAACACAGUUCAGUUAACGAUGAACAUCAAGACCAAGAAAAUGCAGCCAAGCAAAGUUCAACUGACAAAGAGCGUCCGAGUGAAAUCCACUCGGGCAAUCCGACUGAAAUAUACUCGGGCAAUCCGAGUGAUGAGGCACCAGAUCUAGAAAAAGAGGAAGAGGCGUUGGAAAAUUAUUCAGAAGUGGUUCGUACUAGAAGGGGUACUCUUUGAGGUCCUUGGUGUUGGUUGAAUAGAUGAGAUUGUGUGACGCAUAUCGUAUAAUCAUACCCACGGAUACUUGAGGUGACAUUGGAGUAUCUAGGUGACAUUAGGGUUUUGGUUGAUUUGUGUCUUAAGGUGUUAUUCUAGUACGAACUCUAGGGUUGUUUGUGACACUUAUAGGAAUAGCCCAACGGAUUGAUUGGAAAGAAUAACUUUGAGGUGGUUUCGUACCCUACCAUAAUCUCUUCGUUCGUUCUCCGCUAUUAGUGACUUUGGAGUGACUCUUUGUUGCAUAUUGAGGGAUGGUUAUGUGAUCCAAUUAUAUUAUUAUUGUUGAGGGAACUUACACUAGCGAAAGUAUGAACCCUAGGCCUUAUUUCCUAUCAUUGCAAUACCGUUUAUGCUCACUUUUAUCACUUGCUACCUUGCUGUUUUUAUAAUUUCAGAUUACAAAUACCUUUAUCUACUAUCCAUAUUGCACUUGUAUCACUAUCUCUUCGCCGAACUAGUGCACCUAUACAAUUUACCAUUGUAUUGGGUGUGUUGGGGACACAAGAGACUCUUUGUUAUUUGGUUGCAGGGUUGCUUGAGAGAGACCAUCUUCAUCCUACGUCUCCUACGGAUUGAUAAACCUUAGGUCAUCCAUUUGAGGGAAAUUUGCUACUGUCCUACAAACCUCUACACUUGGAGGCCCAACAACGUCUACAAGAAGAAGGUUGUGUAGUAGACAUCACCGACAUUCUCCCUCUUUAUGUAAACCUUGUAAAAUAAGAGAGAGCAGGCAUAAGUAUUGUGACAUAAUGUGUAAUAACAUCCCAUAAUGCAAUAAAUAUCGAUAUAAAAGCAUGAUGCAAAAUGGACGUAUCAGUGGGCCGGAUGACUAAGAGUCGUCGCGGCAAGCUCUACAUCAACGACGAUGGCUGGGGCCCCAAGGUCGGCUCAAUCGAGUACGGGUACCGGGUCCCCUUCGGCGGAAUCUGCAGGAAAUAUGCCCUAGAGGCAAUAAUAAAGUUAUUAUUUAUUUCCUUAUUUCAUGAUAAAUGUUUAUUAUUCAUGCUAGAAUUUUAUUAACCAGAAACUUGAUACAUGUGUGAAUACAUAGACAAACAGAAUGUCACUAGUAUGCCUCUACCUGACUAGCUCGUUGAAUCAAAGAUGGUUAAGUUUCCUAGCCAUAGACAUGAGUUGUCAUUUGAUUAACGGAAUCACAUCAUUAGAGAAUGAUGUGAUUGACUUGACCCAUUUUGUUAUCUUAGCACUUGAUCGUUUAGUAUGUUGCUAUUGCUUUCUUCAUGACUUAUACAUGUUCCUAUGACUAUGAGAUUAUGCAACUCUCUUUUACCGGAGGAACACUUUGUGUGCUACCAAAUGUCACAACGUAACUGGGUGAUUAUAAAGGUGCUCUACAGGUGUCUCCAAAGGUACUUAUUGAGUUGGCAUAUUUCGAGAUUAGGAUUUGUCACUCCGAUUGUCGGAGAGGUAUUUCUGGGCCCUCUCGAUAAUGCACAUCACUAUAAGCCUUGCAAGCAUUGUGACUAAUGAGUUAGUUGCGGGAUGAUGCAUUACGGAAUGAGUAAAGAGACUUGCCGGUAACGAGAUUGAACUAGGUAUUGAGAUACCGACGGUCGAAUCUUGGGCAAGUAACAUACUGAUGACAGAGGGAACAACGUAUGUUGUUAUGCGGUUUGACCGAUAAAGAUCUUCGUAGAAUAUGUAGGAACCAAUAUGAGCGCCCAGGUUCCGCUAUUGGUUAUUGACCGGAGACAUGUCUCGGUCAUGUCUACAUAGUUCUCGAACCCGUAGGGUCCGCACGCUUAACGUUCGGUGAUGAUCGGUAUUAUGAGUUUAUGUGAUUUGAUGUACCGAAAGUAGUUCGGAGUCCCGGAUGAGAUCGGGGACAUGACGAGGAGUCUCGAAAUGGUCGAGACGUAAAGAUCGAUAUAUUGGACGACUAUAUUCGGACAUCAGAAAGGUUCCGAGUGGUUCGGGUAUUUUUUGGCAUACCGGAGAGUUACGGGAAUACGGGGGAGAAGUAUUGGGCCUAAUGGGCCAAGUGGUGGAAGAGAGGAGGCAGGGUGCGCGGCACCCCUAGCCCAAACCGAAUUGGACUAGGGGGCCGGCCCCCCUUUCCUCCUUUCCUCCCUCUCCUUCCUUCUCCCCUUCCCCCUUCCUUUCCUCCUCCUAGUAGGAGUAGGAAAGGGGAGUCCUACUCCUACUAGGAGGAGGACUCCUCCUCCUGGCGCGCUAGAAAGUUGAUCCUUUAUAUACGGGGGCAGGGGGCACCCUAGAAAGUUGAUCAUUGAUCCCUUAGCCGUGUCUCCACCAUAAUCCACCUCGAUCAUAUCGUACCGGUGCUUAGGCGAAGCCCUGCGUUGGUAGCAACAUCAUCACCGUCAUCACGCUAUCGUGCUGACGGAACUCUCCCGUGAAGCUCUGCUGGAUCGGAGUUCGUGGGACGUCAUCGAUGUUAUAUGCACGAGUAGAACACAAGUGAGUUGUGGGCGAUACAAGUCAUAUUGCUUACCAGCAUGUCACACUUUGGUUCGGCGGUAUUGUUGGAUGAAGCGGCCCGGACCGACAUUACACGUACGCUUACGCGAGACUGGUUCUAUUGACGUGCUUUGCACACAGGUGGCUGGCGGGUGUCAGUUUCUCCAACUUUAGUUGAACCGAGUGUGGCUACGCCCGGUCCUUGAGAAGGUUAAAACAUCACUAACUUGACGAACUAUCCUUGUGGUUUUGAUGCGUAGGUAAGAAUGGUUCUUGCUAAGCCCGUAACAGCCACGUAAAACUUGCAACAACAAAGUAGAGGACAUCUAACUUGUUUUUGCAAGGCAUGUUGUGAUGUGAUAUGGUCAAGACGUGAUGAGAUAUAAAUUGUUGUAUGAGAUGAUCAUGUUUUAUUGAAGUUGUCGGCAACUGGAAGAAGCCUUAUGGUUGUCUCUUUAUUGCAUAAGAUGCAAGCGCCAAAUAAUUGCUUUACUUUAUCACUAUGCGAUAGCAAUAGUUGCAAGAGCAAUAGUUGGCGAGACAACCAUGUGAUGACACAUUGAUAAAUAUCAAGAUGAUGGAGAUCAUGGUGUCAUGCCGGUGACGAUGGAAAUUAUGAUGAUACUUUAGAGAUGGAGAUCAAAGGCGCAAUAUGAUCAUGGCCAUAUCAUGUCGCAUAUUUUGAUUGCAUGUGAUGUUUAUCUUUUAUACAUCUUAUUUUGCUUAGUUCGGCGGUAGCAUUAUAAGAUGGUCUCUCACUAAAUUUCAAGGUAAAAGUAUUCUCCCUGAGUAUGCACCGUUGUCAAAGUUCGCCGUGCCGAGACACCACGUGAUGAUCGGGUGUGAUAAGCUCUAUGUUCAUCUACAACGGGUGCAAGAAAGUUUUGCACACGCAGAAUACUCGAGUUAAACUUGACGAGCCUAGCAUAUGCAGAUAUGGCCUAGGAACACUGGAGACCGAAAGGUCGAGUGUGAAUCAUAUAGUAGAUAUGAUCAACAUAGUGAUGUUCACCAUUGAAAACUACUCCAUCUCACGUGAUGAUCGGACAUGGUUUAGUUGAUUUGGAUCACGUGGUCAUUUAGAUGACUAGAGGGAUGUCUAUCUAAGUGGGAGUUCUUAAGUAAUAUGAUUAAUUGAACUUUAAUUUAUCAUGAACUUAGUCUGAUAGUAUUUGUAUAACUAUGUUGUAGAUCAAUAGCUCGUGAUGUUGCUCCCCGUUUAUUUUUAAUAUGUUCCUAGAGAAAAAUUAUGUUGAAAGAUGUUAGUAGCAAUGAUGCGGAUUGGAUCCAUGAUCUAAGGAUUAUCCUCAUUGCUGCACAGAAGAAUUAUGUCCUUGAUGCACCGCUAGGUGACAGACCGAUUACAGGAGCAGAUACAGAUGUUAUGAACGUUUGGCAAGCUCGAUAUGAUGACUACUUGAUAGUUUAGUGCACCAUGCUUUACGGCUUAGAAUCGGGGCUUCAAAGACGUUUUGAACGCCACAGAACAUAUAAGAUGUUCUAAUAGUUGAAAUUGGUAUUUCAUACUCAUGCCCGUGUCAAGAGGUAUGAGACCUCUGACAGUACUUUGCCUACAAGAUGGAGGAGAAUAGAUCAACCAGUGAGCAUGUACUCAGAUUGUCUGGGUACUACAAUUGCUUGAAUCAAGUGGGAGUUAAUCUUCCAGAUAAGAUAGUAAUUAACAAAGUUCUCUAGUCACUAUCACCAAGUUACUAGAACUUCAUGAUGAACUAUAAUAUGCAAAGGAUGACGAAAGUAAUUCUCGAGCUCUUCGCGAUGCUGAAAUUGGCGAAGAUAGAAAUCAAGAAAAACAUCAAGUGUUGAUGGUUGACAAGACCACUAGUUUCAAGAAAAGGGGCAAAUGGAAGAAGGGGAACUUCAAGAAGAAUGGCAAGCAAGUUGUUGCUCAAGUGAAGAAGCCCAAGUUUGGACCUAAGCAUGAGACUAAGUGCUUCUUGUUCGCACACAAACACGUCACCGUGUACCUCCAAUGCCGAGGGUGAUGCACCGCAGCUCACGUCGAAGGAGACCCGGCCGGAAGCGUGGUAUGCAGGCAAUCCAGCAGGCGCUUUUGAAGACCCGAAACCCCACACGCCCGGGAGGGACCCCGUCUGAAUGUGUAGCAGCUAUGGGCUGCCAUAGGUCGACCUGAUCGCCCCUAGGGCCUCGAGGUUCGCCGCCCUGCAAAGAAGAAGAAUAGAUGAAGAACGAGGAAGAAGAAGAACUAGGGUUAAGGAGAAAAGAUAAAGGAUAAAAAGUGAUAGAUGAUUUGAUCAAUUGUAUGUUGUUCAAUCGGCCGUCACCCCUUAGAUGUAUAAGAGGUGGCUGGACUUCCCAUGCAAGGAAAAGGCUUGAAUUCACGUCGAAAACCCUAGUCAAAUUUGGAUUGGUUUUGUCCGAACUUUCCAAAACUGUUCGGUUUAAACUGGCUGCACCUUACGGGUCUUUUUUGUGGUGGUAAACGAUCUCGUAUGAAAACGAGCCCAAAAGCAAUCUUGACCGUUUCGACAAGACGAACAACUUUUGUGUUGAACGUUUUUUAAUCAGAGGUCAUCUUGAGGAUCAAAUCAGUCGCGCAAAACAGGCUAUUCCCUCGCGCUACCCAUCACACAUGUGUCUGGUGGGGCGCGCCACAUCUCGCCUCGUGACAGGGCUGCACUCCGAUUUGGACGAUUUUUAUAUCAAAAUCGACCGUUUCGACGAGAAGAAGACAAUUCGUGUAGACCAUUUUUCCAUAUGAGGCAGUCUUGAGGGCGUAAUCAGCUGAAUAGUGUUCUGAAUACAAAAUCUCAGAACUUCGAACAUAACUUCGGCCUUAGAGAUGAGACCGGAUGGCUAUGGCGCAAAUAUCAAAGUUUCUCCUUUUGACGAUACGGAACUUUCUCACAUUGAGCACUUUUCCAUUUGAGGUCUUCUUAAUUAUGCUUUUGACCAUGCCAAAAUCUGGUGUCAACACAUGCCCCCCUGUUUUUCGGCAAAGCAUGUGUGCCGAAAAAUAACUUGCGCAUAGCUUGUUCUAAGGACGAUGCCAACACUCCAUCGGCCAUUUUGCAUGUUCUUAGAACGAUAAGUAUAUAUCGGCCAUUGCUUGUUUGAACCUCUUGAUGCAAACUUCGGUGAAAACUUCUCAGCUUCUAUAACAAUCCAGUGAUAAGGUUCCAUAGAUCAAAACCAUCCCCCGAACCAUAUUAUUCCCCCUUUUGCUAGGAUUUUGCAGAUAAUCAAGAAUGGACUUCCUUCAAUCCUUACUUCAUCUCAUGAUAAACUAAAAGUGAUUCGUCAAAACAUUUAUAGCUUUUAUUGUUGUACUACUCAUAACAAAUCACCGAAAGCCUCAAUAUGUAUAGCACCUAUAGCAAGGAAAAGCUCCAAUCCGAAUAACAAUGCAUAUUUGGCGUUGAUCAUUUGUGCAUAAAUAUUUUAAGCGGCAUGAGGUUUCACAAAAUAGCACCAUAAGGAGAUAUAUAAACAACACCAACACCUUGGCCAUUGCUACAAAUUUGACCAUCAAUAUAUAACCGCCAUGGUACUAGAGAGAUCAAGCUAAAACCAAUAUUAUGUAUGACAUUAAUCCGAUGUUCAGUAAUAAAAUCAACUAUGAUUUGGCCUUUUAUAGAUAUCAAAGAUGCAUAAGCCAAAUCGUAUCCAAACAAAGUAUAAGCCCACUAACCAAUUCUACAGCUAUGAAUUGGUCUAUGCAGCAUAUAUUCAAUGAUAUCGGUCAAGAUGUCUCAACUCCAUUCAAUCAUAAUAUAGGCAUGCAUAUAAAUUUCCAUGAGCACGUACCUUGUCUCGCUCUCCAAUCGAACUAAGCACGAUGUUAGAGUACUACACCGGCCAUGCGUUGACAUAAUCUUAGGACGAUAGAUAAAUAUCGGCCAUUACCAUGUAAACUUCAUUCAAAGCACAUAUAGUUGAAAUAAAUAAAUGAAAUGACAAAUCAAGUAUUUCAUCCCUUUGGAUCAGCAACAAACUUGUAGCUAAUCAAAUGUAUAGUGACUUGGUAAUACCCUUUCAUGACGUAAGAAAUUAUAUUGCAUCCAUGGAUUAAAAUAAGCCCAUUGAGGGUUACCAAUCAUACCUAAUGACAAAUUCCAUGACAUAGGCGUUAAUGGCAUAGUUGAAGAAUAUGGAUAAUGUGUAGACCAAGAAUGUUGAAACCUUCGGCUUGGUCCUUCAUAGUUUUCACUCUUUUCCUUCUUCACCUUUGCCGCACUUAUUGUAAUGUAAGCUUGCACAUAAUUCUUAUUUUGAGCACUUCCUUUGGGAACCCGUGCCAUGUUCCUUUCUUCAAGUUCUUGUGCACUAAGUUUUUGUAAUUUCUUCUUUUGCCAAUACGAUGAGCCGAGUGGGUAUCUCGGCUGCGAUUCUGUUUUGACCAAUGACAACUCUUUUUCGGCCUUGUGCACUCUCAACUUCUUUUCUUCAGAUUUGGCACUUUGACUUUCAAUAAUUGGUUGCUUCAUCUCAUUGCCUUUAGUAGCCAAUGUCAACACUUUAAUUGGCUCUUUGUUAUUUGAGAUCAAAUCUGAAGUAGCACACUUACGACCAUCUCUUUUAACACGGUACACUUGUUUGACCACCUCUUUCUUCUUCUUUGAGCUCCGGACCAAUUCCUUAUGAUUGAAACGGUCUUUAACAUAUAAUUGUUCAAAUGUUGAUCUUCUCGGAGAUGCAUAAUAUGAGUGAGAUGGUCUAAAAUAAGAUGGAGAGUGUACCCUUGUAUCAUACCUGUCCCAUGAUGGAUAUGGAUCUACAUGAGCAUAGGGAUGCAUCCACGGCAUUGGCACUGGCAGCCCAAAAUAAGGAUAUGAAUAUGUUGCAUUAAAAUGCUUGGUUUGCCAAUACCAUCCUCAUAUUUGUGCCUUGGGGACGGUCUUGGUUUCUUUGCAUGAUCUGGUCGAUAAGCAUUCUUAUCUUCACUCUUCUUUUGAUAUUUAUCCAAUAGUUCAGUGAAGGUGAUUUUUGAUCUCUUACACUGGCGCUUAUUUCGGCCUUUGUUUUCUUUUGGUUCGCUUUCAUCGAUCACUGGAUUUGCUUGUUGCCCCCCAGUCCUUAGCAUCUUCAUUGUAGCUUCGAUUGAAUUCUCGCCCUCAAGAUUAUGUUCAUUAUGCUCUUCAAAAACUUCUUUACUUGAAAGCUUGAUCCCAUCAUCUGCAGCUUUUACCUUCUCUUAAAAUGGAUCGUCUUGAAGCAGCCGAUGCAAAAAAAUUCUGCCAUCGGGACCAAUCAGAAUAGACUGGUCAUCUCUUGGUGUCUCAACAAAUUUCAAUCGUCCUUUAUCAAUGGCUGAUUUAACUAUUUGACGAAACAUGUUACAAUCCUCAAAGUUAUGCUUGGAUGAAUCAUGCAACUUACAAUACAUUCGUCCCUGGACAAAUGGCUCAACAUGAUGAUCAAGAAUUCUAAUAUAAUUAUUUCUCAACAACAAAUCAAAUAUUUGAUCACACAUGCUUGAAUUGAAGGUAAACUUUUUAUUCUCUAGCCGAUCUUGUUGUGAGAACGGCUUUGGAGUUAAGCAGACGAAUGGUUCAGAUUUUGCAUCACCCCAUUCGGCUAUGCAUUGUCUUUCGAUAAGAAACUAUACUGGCAUCGGUUUGCUCCGAAGAUUUUAACGUUGGCUUUCAAUUUUUGAAACCAAAAUAGCUAGAACAUACAUGUCUCAAUUGAGACCAAGUGUAAGCCAAGUAAGAAAUAAGCAGAGCUACCCAAUUAGAUAUGAGCAUUAGAUAAAGCAAUGGGGAAAGCCUUGGCUGCAAUAAUUUUUCGCAAUCGGUCUUUUUGAAUGGUGCAAUAUGUUGACCGAUAUGCUUUGUGACAAUCUGAUUGCUAACAGAUAAAUUACCCUUCUUCAUUGGUCUCUCAAUAUUUGUUAUGAAGAUUUUUCUAAUAUAUGCAUCAACAACUAAGUCAUGACCAAAUCUAAAAACAGGUAAAUUAAUUGCUAGACAUACAUCUUCAAAUAUGUUGGGAGAGCAUGAUGGUGGUGUGACUUGAAGAAUAUCUUGCUCUGCCUUCGGAUAGCUCCCCAGUGCCUUGUCAUCAUCUUUCUCUUGAUUUAGUGCAUCAUUAGUUUGAAGAACUUCGUCCACCAAACUUUCUUCGGCCACUCGUUCUUGUUCUUGAAGCUCAUCAAUUUCUAUGGCACGAAACUCAUAGGGCAGGAAGUAGGUUCCAUUAACUUCAGAAAAAUCAAGUAUGGUUGUCUUGCUAUACUUUCCAUGCCCUUUCUCAACAAUGUUUGCCUCUUUGGAUUUGAUGGAUUCGGAAUAUAUACUACUUGAUUCGGCUUUUUCAACCGAAGCACUUUUAGUUUCCGAAUCAUCAUUCUUUUCACCAGGUUAUAUCAAUUGGCAAGGAUUCUUUUCUUUGAGCUAAUUCCCUAUCAAUUCUUUCUUGGCGAAGUACUUGCACCCUAUCACGCAAAGCUUUAACUCUCCUCUCAAUUUCAGUCCGUCCGCUCUAGAUUAGUUUGCCCCCCAAUGCUUUUAGGAUCUUUCGGCAAUGAAGUUUUAGUGUUGCUGAAAUUUUGCAAUUGUGUAGGGGGUAUAUAAUAUGUUGUGGUACUAGGUAGAGGUGUAUGCACUGUUGUAUAACCAUAUGCUCUCUCACCAAUGCUAUCAAUUGAUGAGGUUUCAUCUUCCUGCAAAACUCUAGCCUUUAUUGCAGUAUAAUCAGGAAACAACCCAUUUUCAUAUUGUUCAAGGUAAAGAGCACUAAUUCUCUUGUUUUGUGUCAAGCUCUUUUUUAAUGCAGCCAUAACCGUUUCUGGAAGGGAUUGCUCCGCAAUACUUUCAGAUUCUUUCGGCAAUGAUUUGUGAGUGUUGCCGAAAUUCUUGAAUUGCAUAGAGUAUGCAUUAUAUGCUACAGUAUUUGAUGACGACACAUGUGUUCCUGUAAAAGUUUCACUUAUUCGGCUAACCUCUGAGGUUUGUUAGACAUGUCAUCUCUGACCUCUGUGUGCAUUUGUUAUGACCGGCUUGGUCUAUUCUAGGAAGAGGCCCACCGGGCAUUAGUAUUAGGGGCUUGGCCCACAAGUUAUCUUAGGCAAAUUAUCUUAGGAAAGUGUCCACUCCCUCCUUGCCCCUACAACCUACGUAGUAGAGCCGGUAGGAACCCUAGUCCUACCAAUUUGGUAAUCAGAGACCACGUUGCGAUCAUGUCGCUGCCGCCAUCACCGCCGCCGCUGCCCGUCGGUACCACCGCGCCCAUGAUGAUGGCGCCAAUCAUCACCGUGCUGACCACAUCCGCCGGGACCUCGCUGGCGUGUCCCAUCUCCUCCUCGGCACCGCCAUCUCCGGGCGCAUCUGCACCAUCGCUGGUGGCCGCCUUGUCUCUGGAGCAACUCGCCGCCACGCUACAUCACCUCGUCACCGCCGUCCACGGUCUUCAGCUCCAACAGCAAUAUGGGGCCGGGGCCUACGCUCACCCGCUGUCGGCCCCGAUCGCCGCCCCUGGUCUUCUCCUAUAGCAGCAGCCGCAGUACAGGGGCGGGGCGGGCCCCUUCACGCCACCACCAGGACCGCACCAGGGCGCGCCCGCGUACGGCGGGUCCCCGUUCUGGCCGAUCCAGGCGGGCUUGGCAUCCGGGCCAGCGCCGGCUGCGGCGCCCCUCUGGCCUUUGCCGCCGGCAACCUCGGCCGCCUCCUGGCUGCAGCAGCCGCCGCCCACCGUCUGGCCGGUUCAGCAGACGCCGUCCCCCGCAUGGCCGGUCCAGCAGCCGUCGCCGCCGGCGUCCCAGGUCCUGCUUCCACCGCCGUUCUCCGCGCCCUCAUCAUCCGGGACCAGCUCGGGCGCGGCCUCGACUACCGGGUUACCGAUCCAUCAGGUCCGGUUUCCCCCGUCCCCGUCCCCCCUGCCACCAUGGGCGGCGGGGUCUUCGCCUUCGCCGGUCUACACCACGACCCCGGUUGAGCCGACUCCGUUCCCGCAGUUCGGCGGGCCAUCCGGCCCCGCCGGCCCGUACCCGGACUACUCCGAUCAGGCACCCCCUGCUUCACUGUUCUGAGCCCCCGAGCCUGCUCGGCACGGCGGGCCGCAGCAGACACCGCCGCGGUUCACCAAACUCGACUUCGCCACCAACGAGGGCACGGAGGACCCCCUCAACUGGCUCAACCAGUGCGAGCAGUUCUUUCGAGGGCAGCGGACGCUCGCUUCAGAUCGUACCUGGCUCGCAUCCUAUCAUCUUCGAGGCGCAGCGCAGACCUGGUACUACGCCCUUGAGCAGGACGAGGGCGGCAUGCCACCGUGGGAGCGCUUCCGGGAGCUCUGUCUCCUCCGUUUUGGGCCUCCUAUCCGCGGGAGCCGACUGGCGGCCCUCGGCCGUUUACCAUUCACAUCUACGGUGCAGGACUAUGCCGACCGCUUCUAGGCCCUGGCGUGCCACGCGCCGGGCGUCUCCGCGACCCAGCGCGCCGAGCUCUUUGUGGGCGGUCUGCCGGACCAUAUCCGCAUGGACGUCGAGCUCCGGGAUCCCCCCGACCUCUAGACGGCCAUGUACUAUGCCCGGGCCUUCGAGCGGCGGGCCCAGGCACUGCAGCAGCCACUCGGACGGAGCGGUCGCCAGCCCAGUUGGCCAGCACCGACUUCCUCAGCCCCGGGUCGGCCUCUCCCAGCCGUGACGGCCACACCCCCGGCCGCCACACGGCCCUUCCGUCGGCUGUCACCGGCCGAGCAGCAGGAGCGUCGCCGUCAGGGUCUCUGCUUCAACUGCGAUGAGCCCUAUACGCCGACCCAUGUCUGCCCCCGCCUCUUUUAUUUAGAGACGGUCGACUACACCGAGGAGGACGACUUGCCCGACCCGUUACAUCCGCCUGCGGCGCCCGAGGACACGGCCGCGGAUUCCGCAGCAACGGCGUGCAUCGUCUCCCUUCACGCCCUGGCCGGCAUCCGGGGUGAGCGGACCAUGCUGCUGCCCGUGACGAUCCAUGGCGAGCGACUGGUGGCCCUGCUGGAUACGGGCUCCACACACAACUUUCUGCCCGAGUCGACCAUGCGUCGGCUAGCCCUCCCAACGACGGGCGGGGAGCGCCUGCGGAUCACAGUGGCGAACGGCGAUCGCCUCCGGUGCCAUGGGCUAGCCCGCGACGUUCCCAUCUCCAUCGGCGGCGAACACUUUUCCAUCACCUGUGUAGGGAUCGAUCUGGGCUGCUUCGACUUCAUCCUCGGGGUGGACUUUCUCCGGACCCUCGGCCCCAUCCUGUGGGAUUUCGACGCGCUCACGAUGACAUUCUGGCGGCAGGGCCGCCGCAUCCGGUGGGAGGGCAUUGGGGGCGCCGCGCCUGCCGUGCCACACCUCCAGCUGGCUGCCGCGUCCUCGGAGGCCGAGCACCCCCUGCUGGAUUCUCUUCUGCAGCAGCACAGCGACCUCUUCGACGAUCCGCGGGGUCUUCCACCGGCCCGGGUGUACGACCAUCAUAUUCACCUCGUACCAGGCUCCACUCCGGUGGCGGUACGGCCCUACCGCUACCCCCAGCUGCAGAAGGAUGAGUUGGAGCGCCAAUGUGCCCUGAUGCUCGCCGCAGGCAUCAUCCGGAUCUCCACAUCGCCCUUCACGGCGCCGGUGCUUCUCGUCCGUAAGUCAGACGGCACAUGGCGCUUCUGCAUCGACUACCGCGCCCUCAACGCACUCACGCUCAAGGACAAGUUCCCUAUACCGGUGGUCGACGAGCUCUUGGAUGAGCUCCAUGGGGCACGCUUCUUCACCAAGCUCGAUCUCCGGUCGGGCUAUCAUCAGGUGCGCAUGCAUCCGGACGACAUCGCCAAGACGGCGUUUUGCACCCACCAUGGCGACUUCGAGUUCUUGGUGAUGCCUUUCGGCCUCGCCAACGCCCCGGCGACGUUCCAGGCCCUGAUGAACGACGUCCUUCGACCCUACUUACGGCGGUUUGUGCUUGUUUUCUUUGAUGACAUUCUUAUCUACAGCGCCACCUGGGCCGAACAUCUCCAGCACGUCGCCAUCGUCUUCAACGAGCUUCAGGCGCACCACCUCCACCUUAAGCGCUCGAAGUGCUCGUUCGGGACGCCUACCGUCGCCUACCUCGGCCAUGUCAUCUCGGCCGACGGGGUGGCUAUGGACGCCGAUAAGGUGGCGGCCGUCACCGCCGGGCCGACGCCUCACUCGCCGCGGGCUCUCCGCAGGUUCCUCGGACUCGCCGGCUACUACCGAAAAUUUAUCCGGGAGUUCGGACUCAUCGCGGCGCCCCUCACGCGGUUGCUUCGCCGCGACGCCUUCACCUGGGACGACGAGGCGACGACGGUGUUCGAGGCCCUCAAGGGGGCCCUCACGACGGGCCCCGUCCUCAAGAUGCCCGACUUUGACCGUCCGUUCGUGGUGGACUGUGACGCCUCGGGCGCCGGGUUCGGCGCCGUACUUCAUCAGGGCGAUGGGCCCCUCGCCUUCUUCAGCCGGCCUUUCGCUCCGCGCCAUCUUAAGUUGGCCGCUUACGAGCGGGAGCUCCUUGGCCUAGUCCAGGUCGUGCGUCAUUGGCGGCCAUACUUGUGGGGGCGGACCUUCCACAUUCGCACGGACCACUACAGCCUGAAGUUCAUCCUGGAUCAAUGGCUGCCGACCGUUCCGCAGCACCAGUGGAUCAGCAAGCUCUUCGGCUUUGACUUCUCCGUCGAGUAUCGGCCAGGCCGUCUUAACACCGUGGCCGACGCGCUGUCCCGUCGCGAUUCCGACCUCGCGCCACCCGCCGACGUGUCCGCCGGGACGGCCCUGUGCAUCCGCUCCGGGCCAUCGUCCGGUCUCUUCACCGACAUUCGACGCGCCACUGCGAUGGCCGAUGACGCCGCACUUCUUCAGCAGCAGCUCGCGGACGGCGACUUGGAGGAGCCCUGGCGCUUCUCUGACGGACUGCUCCUCCAUGAACGCCGGAUCUUUGUUCCGGCGCAUGACGAUCUCCGUCACCAGGUGUUGCAGCUCGCUCACUCGGCGGGCCAUGAGGGUGUGCAGAAAACCCUCCAUCGUCUUCGCGCCGAAUUCUACAUCCCUGGCGAUCGUGCCCUGGUCCGCGACUGGGUUCGGUCUUGUCAGACUUGCCAGCGCAACAAGACAGAGACCCUGAGGCCGGCGGGGCUCCUUCAGCCCUUGCAGGUGCCGUCUCAGGUUUGGGCAGAUAUCUCCUUGGACUUCAUCAAGGGCCUUCCCAAGGUGGGGGGCAAGUCAGUCAUCCUCACGGUGGUUGAUCGCUUCUCUAUGUACGCCCACUUCAUCGCGCUGGGCCAUCCGUACACGGCGGCGUCCGUAGCCCGGGCCUUCUUCGAUGGCAUAGUCCGUCUACACGGGUUUCCGACGUCGAUCGUCAGUGAUCGGGACCCUGUCUUCACGGGCCAUGUCUGGCGCGACCUCUUCAGGAUGGCGGGUGUCCAGCUCCGCCUGAGUACGGCGUUCCAUCCUCAGACGGACGGUCAGUCUGAGGUGGUUAACAAGGUCAUUGCCAUGUAUUUGCGUUGUGUGACAGGUGAUCGGCCUCGCGCUUGGGUGGACUGGCUCUUUUGGGCGGAGUACUGCUACAACACUUCUUAUCACUCCGCCCUGCACGCGGCGCCAUUUGAGGUGGUCUAUGGUCGACCACCCCCGCCUAUACUUCCGGUCGACCCGGAGAUGGCUCGGACGGCGGUUGCGGGUGACCUUAUCCGCACCCGUGAUGAGAUGCUGGCUGAGGUCCGUCAGCGUCUCCUUCAGGCCCAGCAGACGGCCAAGCACUACUACGACGAUCAUCAUCGCGAGGCGGAGUUCGCAGUGGGUGACUGGGUGGGGCUCCGUCUUCUCCACCGCUCUACGCAGUCACUGGACCCGCGCGCAAAGCGCAAGCUUGGCCCUCGCUACGCCGGGCCAUUCCCUGUCGUGGAGCACAUUGGGAAGGUGGCCUAUCGUCUACAGCUUCCAGCCCGCGCCCGCGUCCACGACGUGUUCCGGCUGCUCAAGCCUUUCUGUGGCGAGCCACCGGCGGCUCCUCCGGCGCUUCCUCCAACCGCCGAUGGUCGCAUUCUUCCAGAGCCAGCAAAGGUGUUGCAGGCUCAGCUCCGUCGUGGCGUCUGGUUCGUCCUAAUUCAGUGGGCGGGCCUUCCGGAGGAGGAGGCUACUUGGGAGCAGCGUGAGGAAUUCCGUCAACACUAUCCAGACUUUCAGCUCGAGGACGAGCUGUUUGCGCAGGCGGGGAGAGAUGUUAUGACCGGCUUGGUCUAUUCUAGGAAGAGGCCCACCGGGCAUUAGUAUUAGGGGCUUGGCCCACAAGUUAUCUUAGGCAAAUUAUCUUAGGAAAGUUAUCUUAGACUAAAGUUAUGAAUACUCAUGUAAGACAUCGUUUUGAGGCAAGCAAUAAAGACUAUUAUUAUCUUUUGUUGCCCGGCUCCUAGAGGAGCCGGGCACCCUAGCCGCCGCAGCCAAGCCGCCGCCGCCCUCAACCCUAGCCGCGACGGCGCCCUGCCGCCGGCGCGCCCGUUCCUCGCCGCGUCCACUCCCUCCUUGCCCCUACAACCUACGCAGUAGAGCCGGUAGGAACCCUAGUCCUACCAGCAUUAUCAUCUCUAACUGUUGCUCAGCUUCUAAUGUUAGCUGCUCUGCUUUGCAUAUGACAGGGUCUGACCGUUUUCCCACAAGGAUACAGAAACCCCAAUGUUCCAGGGUGUACGAAGCGAAAGCAACCUGACUGGGCGCCUUCAGAUUUUGUUGAACAAGGACUUUGUGAAGAUUUUCUGCCUGCUGCAUCGACUAUGGUACAACUUGAGAACCUAUACGCUCAGUUACAGGAGCAUGCGUUAAAUGUUGGGGCCACUUCUUUCAAGUGCAAGAGCGAUAAAAGGGAGCGCACCCAUGUGUCUUCCUUUGUGGACAAAGAAACUCAGGUUACUGCUUUAAUCUUAUCGUUUCUGAAAUUCUUUCUAGGGAAUCUUACUGCUAACCAUUACCUUCUCUUUGACAUCAUACUUACCAUAUUAUCCGAUUCUGGAACAAGAAGCUAGGAAAGUACGUUGAUUUUCUGCGAUAGAAUGCAACCGGGUACAUAGUUGCUUUUCGGGCCUUCGCUGAUAUUAACGCGAUAAAAUACGCUCACUGGUGUUGCUUCAAGGACGACAAGCAGGUCCAAAGUGACUUUCCUGACACCACAUUUGAGGUCACAAAUUAUCAGGCGGGCUACAUAGAUGUGUACGUCAUUUACAAGUCACCUUCUCCUGCUGUCUUGAGUAUCUAUUUUUUCUUUCUUUUUUCCUAUUUUAUCUCUGACAAAGAAAAGAUGUGCAUUUUUUACAGUGCUGCGGUUGUCUUUGGUGUGGACACGGUCCAAUGAUACUUGAUGAGAUUUGCGCAGUACAUGAGGAGUAUGAUCAAGAAACAGUACAUGAGCAUCAUCACAAAACAAAAAAGCUGGUUAAACGUCUUCUGCACUUCUGUUUGUGUUGUUAGGUGAAGGUCCAAGGUUUGAUCUUAUCAAAGCGACUAUAUACUCAAGCAUAGAGAAGUUCUCUCACAAGUAUUGCCUAAAACAUCUUAGAUUAGCCGCUAUUUUGGAAGAAGUAAUUCAAAACUGGUCCAGUCUCUCAAAAACAACAUAUUUCCUAUUGCUUGUGCAUUAUGAAAAGAAGAUAAAGGCGAAGUGCCUUAGGGAGAGACAUGAUCCUGCUGAUAGUUCACUGCCACACUUUAGUCAUCGUCGACUAUUUUUGCAAUUUGAGGCACAGGCUAGGAUAGCACGGUACCGCUGCUUACAGGUGGAAGUCGGUGAAAAAAAGAUUCAGCAUGUCCUUAAAUUGAGAAAAGAUUCUGUGGAUGGGAAAUGGAUGUAUUAUGGGGAUGUAGCAUGUAAUCAGCUUCUUGGUGAUCAUCUGUCGCUUCUGAAGUAUCUGGACCAGUAUACUACUUCUGUGAUUAUGAGAGCUACUGGUUACCAGAAAGAACUGCACCCUACACUCUCUUCGUCAUCAGAAUCUGAUGAAAAGAACGAGAAAGGGAAAGACAAAGAGAAAGAGAAAGAGAAAGAGAAAGAGAGAGAGAGAGAGAGAGAGAGAGAGAGAGAGAGAGAGACGAAGUGGAUUACAAAAGAUGCAGAAUUUUGGAAGAAGUUCGCCGACUUCAAAGAGCAUCAUCAAAACUCUACGCUGUCUGCUACUCUUCACUUUGUCAAUGAUGCCCUCCCAUUCCUGCAACGUUGGGUUUUUGAAGCGGUCAAAGCUGAUUUGUAUGAGGAAGUCAAGGUUAUUUGUAGCAAGUUUAAAACUGCAUUGCAGAGGUAUAUUCAUCUAUUGUUGCUAGUUCCUGAUGUUUUCAUUGCUCUUCUAUCAUAGUAUGUUGCUCUUUUUGUCUAACAUCUUUGUUUCGUCAGAAUGAACGAGAUUGAAGCUGCGGGGUACGCUUGUGAUUGAUGGCCUGCCAGAAGGGUUGACAAACUGACAAAGCUGAAGCCUAUCUUCAAAUUUCUUAAUGAAAAUUGUCCAGAUUGGAGUCCGCCACAGCAAGAUCCAGUUGGACAGGCUGACCAACAGCAUGAUGAGGAUGAGGAGGAUGAACUAAUCAUGGCCAAAGGAAAGGGCGGCAAGGGCAGGAUGCAGUAUGUGAACCGUGAGGUCAAGGUCAAGGUCAAGGUCAAGCGGAAGCGGAAGGGCAAGGACAAGGACAAAAGCUAGUGUGUUGGUUUUACUGGUGCUGCACAUAGUUCUUGGUUAUACUUCUUCUGCACAUUAUUCUGGGUGGUUUUGAGUUUCCCCCUUGGAAGAUGGCCCAGUCAAUUAAUUGGGGGUGCUCUAAAAUUGCUUUCCAUGUUCUCUACCAUUUUGAAUUCGUUGAACUGAAAAUUGCAUUGCUCCUUGUGUUGCAAGUCCUAGUCAAAAGUUCAUUAUUACAAUUACCUUCAAGUGGAUCUGCUCUUUGCUUAUGGAAAAAAUUUCAGAGUGUGGUAGUCAGCAACAGUGUGAAUGGAAGGAGAUGCCUAAUUGUACCACAGUAGCAGUUGAUCAAGAUAUAAGAUGUGGGCAUGCCACUAGCGAGUCAGCCAUACCACCUGACAGUAAUAGUGUGUAAAAAUAUGAAACCCUAGAAUUAUGUGUUGUUGUAUGUUGUUUGAUCUGACCCUUGUGCAGGGUACAUAUAGGAGUACAAGAGGGGUAGAGACUUGGAGUACAAGACAAGUCACAUGUGGUUUAAACUAAUUCUAUCUUUAUCUCCUUAUCUCUAACUUAAACCCAAUUAUAUUUCUAACAUUCCCCCUCAGUCGUAGCGGGAGCGAAGCGGACGAGUACGAAUGGAUUUGAAGUCUUGCGCUUUCGUCGUCUUCUCCGCUGCGCCAUCAUCAACUGCGUCUCUGAUGGGUUGGCACCUAGGGCGGUGACUGCGUCCCCUUCUGGUGGAGUUGUUGCCGAUAUGUUGCUGUAGACGUAGCCAUUAAUGUCAAUGUCGAGGUAGCCGAUCAUGGUGAUGUAGCCGUGGUCGAGGUAGUCGUGGUCGAUGGUGUGGCCGUCAUGGAUGAUGAAGCCGCACAAAGCCGAAGGCGCAAAAAAAUGCGCUAUGGCGGGGCUGCAGACGUGGACGAUACACCUUGCGGAUGUCAGAGGGUGUCGUCGGCGAUGAGUCCGCCGGUUUUGCCAAGACCGGAGGAAGCCCAUCGAGCACACAUCGGUUUUGCCAGAACCGUGUGGCCAUAUAGGGUCGUCACUAUAGUGACGCCGUGUCGAUGCAGUCGUAUUGUCGUGGAUGACGCGGUCGAUGCCGUCGUCGUGGUCGCGCCUUGCAGAAAAAAAUCUGUCAGAGGACGCUAGUUGUCCAUCCUGUGGACGAGGCGGUGGCGGUGUGUCGACGAUGAUGUUGGUGAAGACCAUGUUGAUGAAGACCUUGGCGAUGAAGUGUCGGUGGUGCAGCGCCACCGACAUGUCGACAAUGAUGCGUCGCUUGGAGGCGUCCCUCGUGGCGACGGGGUGUCGAUGUCGUGUCGUGCUGAAGAAGUCGAUGAAGAAUUGCAUCUCGUUCCACACCGGCCUGGCGUGUGAACAGUGCAUAUUGAGGUCGCUUCUAGUAGGUGUGGUCGAUGAAGUAUGUUGGCUCGCGGACGGGCUAGUCGUACAGGUCGAUGAAGUGGCACAGGGUUGAUGCAGAGGCGUCGAUCGGUGGUGUAGAUGUCGAUGCAAUUGCAGCAGGCCGGCUCGGUGUAGAUGUGUUCGGCUUGGUGUAGUUCGGCUUGUUGGCGCGCAGGAGAUCGAUCGAGUCGGCCUGAUAGAGAUCGCGUCCGUGCGCGUGCAGUGUAGUCGAUGCAGAUCGUAAUUUGUGGGCUUGAUGCAGAUGGUUCAAUCGCUCGAUGCAGUUUGCCGUCGCGGUGCAGAUCGUUGUUGGUGUAGUCCCGAAACAGAAGUCGAUGUAGAGACAAUCCGUGUACGACCGGAGGCAUGGCCGACUAUCGGAGAUCCGAUCGAUCGAAGGCACCAGUAGUCGUCUGUAGACGCGUACGUGUAGACGAGACUGAAGCUUCAUCUGAGUGCAUGCACGUACCUCGGGCUACUGGUUGCUUCGUGUCCCACGUCCUGGGAGGCUGCGCAUGCACAUGGCCAAGUGCAUGAAUCAUAUGUGUGCGCAUCUGUUGAUGGAGCACUGCGCGUGUGUGCAUCCACCUCCACGACAAGCUCGCCAUACCUGUCUCUAUAGGUGCCGAGACAGCGCCGCCUUGGGUCGCGGCCGUAUAAGCCGCAUGCGGCCUGAAGUGAUCUGGACGAGGAUUUCUACACAACUUUCUCACCGAAUUUGAGGGUUGAGGGAUUUAUUGGUCGUGGCUACAGGAAACCAAUCUACUGGAAAUUCAAAAUUUGUGUAAUCUAACCUAUGAAUCGAUCUAAUCUAUAGAACCGAUCUCAUCUUUGACGAUCGGGUGCCCCGCCCCCAAGGAGAGGAGAUUAAUCUCCCCGGGAGCGGCGAGCUGCGGAAGCGGUGGAAGGUCCUAGGAUCGGCGUCGUUGGACAAACCGCUCUAAUACCAUGUAACAAUAUGAAACCCUAGAAUUAUGUGUUGUUGUAUGUUGUUUGAUCUGACCCUUAUGUAGGGUAUAUAUAGGAGUACAAGAGGGGUAGAGACUUGGAGUACAAGACAAGUCACAUGUGGUUUAAACUAAUUCUAUCUCUAUCUCCUUAUCUCUAACUUAAACCCAAUUAUAUUUCUAACAUAGUGCUUGGAAUCAGGUGGUCCGUUGGGAGGUACUACUCUUCAUGCUAUGGAAUCACAUAUGCUGCGAUUAUUUGUUCCUGUCUCAACCUCUCCUGGUUACACCAUUGUCAAUUAUCUGUGCAAUGUGAGCUUGAAUUGGUACUUGGGUGAGGUGCUCUGGGAUGUUAAGCAAUGGUGGUUGUAUGCAGUCAGCCCAAGCUUUCUUGAGACUUUAGGCAUGAGUGUUCUGAUAUGGGAAUUUCCUUGCAAGUGAGUGUUCAGAUCACCAGUACAGAUGGCAUGAGUGUUCUGAUCUGGGAAUUUUUAUCUCCUUGGAGUAACCUACAGGAAGGUGACACUAGUGGGACUGAAGCCAUGGAUUUCUUGGGAAUGUUUCUCUCUGGAAGAAUUUUCCAGCUUGCCAUAUUCUCUGUACUGGUGAUGUACGGAAGUGGUAGACGCACUUCAUUAUCUGCAGCUAUUUGAGGACAAAGUUGAAGCUUGGGUUUAGGAUGUUGUGCAACCUCCAUAGGAUUCCGGUGGCGCCAUACAACAUCGACUUGUGGGCAAGUCGAAUCUUAUGUGGGAGGGAUUGUUAGUGACCCUUCCUCUGACAUGGUGGGCCAUCGUCAUCAGGUGGGACCCAACACAGUUGGUACAAGGAGGUAACUAUAAGCUGGCGAGGAAGGACAUCAGGAAGCUAGGCUUGGAACAGAAUGACGGCUUUGGACGAGGCUUGUGUUGGCUAGGAUAGUUCCUGUUCAUCUUCUUCCUCAUGGUGAUUGAGUGGAAUAGAUAGGGAUCCUCAAAACUCCACUGGAAAUUUCCAGGUCUGAUAAGAGAUGGGGCAAUGAGUAGUGCACUCGUGAUGCUACAUGAUCAGAGAUCAGUGAUGGAAAUGGUCAAGCAUAUCACUAAUGCAGGUGUGAUGGACAUAUACAGCAAGAUACCUGAAGAUUUUUCAGAGGAAAUGCAUAGUGACUGCGAGUAUGCACAAGAGCAGCAACAACAUUCAGCUGGAGAAGGGCAGCAAGAACAUUCAGUUGGAGAAGAGCAGCAGCAACAUUCAGUGGAGCAGCAGCAACAUUCAGUGGAGCAGCAGGAAAGUGUAGGUGCAACUGAGCAGCAGUAUACUGCAAAUGCAGAGGAACAGCAGCAAGAGGCAGGUGCAGAGGAUCAUAUGGAAGAACCUUGGCAAUUUUCUGACAUGUAUUAUCAUCCUGGUAGGAUUUCUAACUUACCAGUGAGAAGAGGAAAAUCCGUUGUAGCUGAGGAGGAAGUAAACAUUGGUAAUCAUGAAUCUGAUAGUGACUAUGCUAUCCCCCUGCAGAGAGCAACAUCUCAGCAUCUGAUGAUGAAGUCUUGGAGCAUCUGAUGCAAGAAGAAGAGAAGAAGGUGAGAAACCACAGGGGAACAGGUUUUCAAAGAAAGGCAUUAAAAUUGGGGCGUGGAGUAUGUGAUCGUGAGCUCACAAGAGCUCGUUAUCUGUCCCGUCCAGUAUAACUUUGCGAUUCGUUGUAUUGAAUGCCUCUGACGGGUUGUGAGUCCAUCUAGAACAGAUAAAUUGAUAUAUGCAUGUGUACAGACCUGACUGGUGGGUCCUGUUCUACGCAGAUGUUGGGACGCCGCGGAUGGAGUGAGGCAGGGCCGUGGCUUGAGAUGCCACCGGUGUCCUGGUCCAUGGAUCAGAUCCUGUGCUCUCUGGUAACGACGGCAAUAGAUGGAGUAAAUGCAGGAGUGGGUUGCUGAGAGCAGCUGUCUCCUACCUCCCGAGAUUGGAUGCUCCAUUGGUGAAAGCGGCGAACCGGUGGAGGAGCCUCCUCCGACAAGGCGACUGGGCGCACCGGCGAGCAUGGAGUUCUUGAUGCAUCCAAUAAAUAGGUACUGAUCUGUUCGCUAUUGCUGCUGAUUCGCUACCGUUUUGAUUUAGGAUUUCCAGAAGAUUUGAUUUGUUUGCCGACUCUCUGUGCAAGCAGCAGAACUCUGCUAGAGGAGGUGAACGAGAACAACAUUGCCAUGGAGCCUCUUCACUACCCUGUGAGCACGCCGCCGGUGGUUGAGCUGCCGGCCAUGACGGCAUCAAAUGCAGACGGCUAGAUCUGUGCUGAGGACGCUGCUCCAGACGGGUGCAGUGCAGAUAAGGCUCAAGCUUCAGAGCACUUCAUAGAUCAGGUUGACCCGAAAACUCCUGGCAGGACGCAAUGGUAUGCAGAAUAAGAUUGAAAAAUAACUUCAUUUGGGUUCGAACAUUGAGAUGGCCCUAUGUUGUAAAGCUAUAGUGUACACAUAUAUAUUCCAGUAGUGAUUAGAAUCACUUAUUGAAUGUCCAAAACUGAGCUUGCGUAAAAAGAAUUAAGUCUGUACAAACAUGAUGUGUGAAGGAUGAUAAAUUUAGUCGCUUUCACUCUAAAAGGGAACCGAUUCUCUGAACAUAUUUUCAUGCUAGCAGGUUUAUUUCCUCCAGCUAAACACAAGGAAAAUGGGAGGCCUAACACAAGUAGGGAGAAGGCACUGUAUGAAGGGUUAAGUAAAUGGACCAGAUUCUGCAGCAUAUGUCGGCAGCAAGGUCACAAGCAAACGGCCUGUCCAGAUCGACGUACUGAAGCAGCCUCGCAAGCCAUCAAGGUAAGACUGAAGUAAUUGAUCAAUUUGGGGUACUUUAAUGAUCAGGUCCUUAGUUGUGUUCUAUCUGUAUAAUUAAGAUUUGUUGAGACUGUAUGAUUAUAACUUGUGUGUUACUCCUCUGCCUAGAAAAUAAAAUGCUUUUUAUUCGGCUUGCCUGGAUAGUUUCAGACUUAUAAGAGUGUUUGCCAAUGCUGAUGUUGUACUUUUUAUUACUGAAUUAAAUGUGUUGACUAUUAAUGAAUUGAUUCGAUGACUAGCUGUAGAUUGUGUUGUUCAGGUGAACUUGAUCCGCAGAUUUGAGGUGGUGUGUGAUACCAGUUAUUUCAAAAUCCAGCUGAUACAUGCUUUGAGUAACCAAAGACAGACAUAUGGCAUGUUUUGGGUCAAACAAGUUAAUUAAUGCAUUUAGUAGUGUUCCGUCAGGUGGAGCUAUCCUCGUGAGCGAGCUUGCAUUCGAAAUUCAAACAUCGUGGGCGGUAGAAGUGCAAAUGGUAAGAAACCUAUCUAUUAACUACAACAUCUUGAAGCUUUGGUUGCAUAGUGAUAACGUUAUGAAUUGAUGCAGAAAUGGAGGUGCCCUUCAUCGACUUGGUAACGAGUGUCCCGAUAACACAAACUGAGGAUCUUGGACCGGCGGCAAGUAUUCUCUACUCCCUCCGUCCCAUAAUGUAAGAUGUUUUUUGACACUGGGACGGAGUAGUAAAAAACAAUAGAAUAAGCUCGUGUAGAGGAUGGUAGACUAAGCUAUGCUGAUUGCAGAGGUGGAGGUGCCUUUCAUUGACUUGACCACAAGCAGUCUAGAUACAGAUGUGGACACAGGGGCUCCGCCUGGUAUGUCUGAUGCUCAUGUUGCAUAUGUUUGUUGAGCAAGAUCAAUCUUUGGAAACUGAUAAAAAAUGUCUUCUUGGUUAAACAAAUGACGCAGCGAGAUUGGCGCCUGUAAAGACAGAGGAUACAUCGGAUUGCCUAAAGUUUCAGACUGUCAUUGGUGGUAAGCAAGUUUGCAUAUGAACAUGUUCCAUGUAUGCGUUUUGCAAGGCUAUGUACAUUUGAAUAUGAGAAAACAACAUCUUGCAGGAGAACAAGUUAUUGGCUCUACCCCUGGCAAUUGAUGUACCUAUAGCAGCUCCUCACAGACGAGUAGAAGCAAUGCCAACAAUUCCGGCACAAGGUGGGUACACUGGAGGUAUAUUUCAAAACUGAUGUUCAUAAAUCACGUAGAUUCUGCUUGUAUGAAAACAAACUUUGCAAAUUAUGACAUGAACUGAGUGCUGAAAAUUAUGUUGGCGUAGGCAUGGAAGAGCAUGUCGUUCUAAUGUCACAGACAAGGAAUAAUGCAGAUGUUAUAGAGAUUGUGGUCAGACCGUCCGGCGAUAAAAUUGAACAGAGCACUCAGUGCUUGAAGUUUGAGACAAUAAUAGACGGUAAGUUCUGUAUCUGAAUGUGUGUAUAUCAUUUUGUGAAGUAGUUCAUGGUGGCUGAUUGCAUGCCAAAUCCAAUUUGUAUUUAGUAGGGCUGGCAUGUGUGGGGUCAUCACCACCACAAGGUUUUAGAAGCACUUCGCAAGCGCGAGGGAGUCAUUGCGUCUGAUCAAGUUAGGUCUGGUGAACCCAGAUGUGCUUCUAUUACCUAAUUCUGUACGGUCAUUCUAUACAAUGUAAAUGAUGCCAUGCUAACUCAAAUUGAUGGGUGGCCUGCAAUGCAGCCAGGUCAGAUGGCAAGCUGCCAUUGAACAUGUCGGCAGCAGCAGGCAUUAGGAGGCGGCAGAAGAGGUGUGCAAACAGGGGCAGCAGGCAGUAUCGUCAGAGGAGAUGCCUAACGCGAUCAAGCAGGCAUUUGUCACCUCGAAAAGCUCUGAUGAAUAUGAAGAUCCGGCUGCAAUCAAGCUACAGGUAUUGGCAGAGCUGAACUUUAGCAGUGAUAUUUGUUCACUUUGGAAAAUAGUAGUACUAAUCAUUAUGUUUGUCAGGUGCCACACCCAGGAAAGAGGACAAAGAAGCAAGCAGGGCCUACUCCAGCAAGGCCAACAUCAGUGCCCAGAACUGCUUCUCAACCAGUUGGAAGGGGAAGCCGGAGGAGUCACAACAGGGCAGGUUGAAGCUCCAGAUAGCCUGCUCCAGGAGUUCAAGCUCACAGCAAGUCCGAAGGCAUAACAGCACUGGGGAACAUUGAAUGCCUAGCUUUGCUUCUCAAUCUGUGUGCAUUUUGUUCAUGUGAAAAUUAAGUCUCCAGCCCUUUGUGGAUGCACCUAGGAGCCAUUCCCAAUUUCCGCCUUUUAUGGAUGUUUAGUAUUGUCAAAGACCUUAAGCAUUUGUAUGGUUACUUAUGAGUAAGGAUUAUUAUGUUACCUGAAGCUUAUCUGAAAGUGUGAUAUGCCUGUCAAUUUCUUAAAGUGCCAUUGCUGUAAAUUUAUUCUGAAUUCGAUGUCAAUAAUUUGUACAGUUCCGGUUAACUUGUGAAUUUGCUGAGUGAAAGUCAUCGAAAACAUGAGCGAACAGAGACGGUCAUCGCAUAUGCGUGGGCGUGGCAUACAUGAUGACUUAUUUGACCGCAUGUCGGGUGACAGCAUGGCAACUGAAGGGGUUUUCUGUGAAGUCCCAGCCCAGUUCUUUUAGUCAGCUUCUAGUGCUGCUCGCCGGCGCCUGGCCAGCUUCUAGUCAGCUUCUAGUGCUGCUACUGGCCGGUUCCAUCUCCGUACUGCAUGCUGCUUGUUGCUUGAGCUCGCCGCACUGCUGCUUCUGCUGCUCGUCGCCACAAGCAGACUAGGCUUCCCCAGAUCGCUGGCGCAAGCAUUGCGGCUGCUCGACGCCCGGCCGGUGCAUACUGCCGCAUGCCGAUCGCCGCAUACUAGAUUCUGCUGGACAUAGACCGAUAGACGACGAACGACCUGGGAGGCUCGAUCGGUUACAGCCGGCGAUCGAGGAAGAUAUGUAUCAGUCCAGGCCUCCAGGGCCUCCGUAGGUCGUCGCCGCCACUGCCCAGGUUUUUUUAGAAAAGGAGUAAUCACCCCCGGCCUCUGCAUCUGAGUGAUGCAUGCGGUCAUAUUAUUUAUUAUUCACAAAGACCUUACAAAGUAAUACAAUAGUAAGCCCGAGGCCACCAUCUAGACGACACCUGUCGUUACUCCUAUCCCCUUGAUGAAGGUGUGCUGAAUGUCCGAGCCAAAUACGAAACAGACAUCGCACGAAAGUCUAACAUCUAACGCUGGAUGCCCCAUCCAAGCCACAUAGGCGAGACUGGGUAACACUCCGGUCCGGGCACUCUCAGUGAGUACCACAUGCACACGCUGCAAAGGGCCGUCACCUCCGUCUUUCCUCGAUCCAUCCUCAAAGCAUGUACUGACGCAUCUACCUUGUCAGGCCACUCUGCCAUCGACGCUACCACGACGUCAGACAACGUCGACCUCCUGCGCGUGUCCCUCGCCACACAUCUGACGCCAAGCCUCCACUGCUCCAUGCCGUCGAGAUCCGUCGUCAUGAAUAUGUACAAAGAAACACCGCUCCACCGCAGAUGCCAUCCACUGGUCCCUCGAGCCAGUGCAUCUCCAAGAAUGCCGCCCCCAAGGGGGUAACGACACAUGAAUGCCGCCGUCAUCUGAUCAACUGAUCUAGGGUUUUCCCAGGAGGUAUUGGGUGGGGUUGGGAGCUUCACCUCGAUGAUGCCUUCAUGAAGGAAAUGAUGAUAAGACCAUCGUCGUCACCGGCUCCAGCCAAUGACCGAAGGCCAAGUUUUCACCCGGAUCCAUUCCAAGAAAUCCACCCGACAACUUGUGCACUAUCUCGACCGCCUUCAAAGCCCCAGAUCUAGCCGCCUAGAUCCGGCGACCAACCGCAACAGCAGUGCCACCGUAGGAGCCCUGGCACACCAGCCACUGCCUGAAUGCGCCACCACUGGAGCCUGGGAGGAGGGCUCCCACCCCACCUCGCCAACCCGCGAGAGCCACCGGGAUGGAUCCCCCACGCUCAUCACCGUCUCUGAUCUGAACCAAUCUGUGGCCAAACCACGAGAUCGUCGAUGCGGAUCCGCCUUGGAUAGGGACUGCACCACGCCAUGCCAUCGCGGGAAGCCUGAGCUUCACUCGCCGCCACCUUCCAGCGCUGCCGCCCCGGGAUCCAGCCGCCACCGACAGGACGCGCCGCCCACGUGCAGCAGGCCGGAGGAGCCCCCCGAUCCAGAUCUGGAGGCGGCGACGCGUGGGUCCCCCCCCCCCCCCCCGCUCGCGGGAGCGGGCUGGGCGUCCAGCUCUUGGACCUCACCGCGGAGGACAACCACGUGCGUCACGGAGGCUAGCUCUCGCGUGUGUUGCUUGUGUUGCAUAUCUGAGUUAUUUAUCCAAAACCACCACACUUAAAGCUAGGAUAACAACUUAGUAUCACAUUUAAGCCAGGGCACAAAAAACCAUCAGAAAUACGCCUAAGAGCAAGCACAAUAGGAUGAUGUAUGCAGGAUGUAAGACUUUAAAUAUUAGAGUUGGCAGAGAGAGAAGACAAGCGGGCUUCUAACUAACAGCCGGCUGUAGCACAUGCUCCUAGACAUUUUGUGAGAGAGAAAGGUGGGCCAUGUAUCAACUAGUACAAACUUAUAUGCAUCUAUUACACUUGCCGACUAUAACGUUGGCUAUAUUAUUAACCAUGCUCUAGUGCGUAACGCAGAGCACAAAGACUAGCCACAAUGGGUAGUAAUAUAGAGUAGUAACAUGGGUCUCUAUAGUGGGGAGUAACAUAUGUGUGGUAACAUGCAACACUUCAUUUAUUAGGCUAUAGACUCAUCUUGCCUUGAUAUGUGUGAUGUUACUCAUACUAGUAGUAACUAGCUAUGUUACCACAUGCCUCUCUUUUUUCAUUUAUUGCUUGCCAUAUUAUCUAUUUUAUCUAGAUAUGUGUGAUGUUACUACCUAUGUUACUCCUAUUGUGGGUAGUCUAAUAGUUUGAUUUGCCCAUGAAAAUAGCGAAACCGACAGGUUGGCCCCAUUUGUCGGGCUGACGUGGCCUGCCAAUGUGGAUUAUUCGCUGAGGUGGCCCAAGGCCCCACCUGUUAGAUGCAUCUCUUCUUCCCCUCUCUUCCCUAAAAAUACUCCACCACAGCCAUAUCCUGCACCGCUGCCGGAGCUCAACCCCGGCGAGCCACCCCACCACCGGCGAGCCGCCCCACCACCACAUACCAUCCGUGUCGAACCGCCCUGCUGGAGCUCGAUCUACCUCCAUGGAAGGCGGAUGCAACAUCAGGCACCAGCGGCCGCUCGGAUCCGUCUCGCAUCCACCCCGCCACCCAAACUGCUGCCUGGCGCCGGCGCCGAGUCGAAGAGGAGGACGACUACAUGAGAACUCUCCUUGUGUGUUCUUGCUUCCACCGCCACUUGCUGCUAGCUUGAGUAGGCGCACGGCCUAGGACUCUUGGUGGGCGCGGCGAGCACGGGCAUGGCCAUGGUGCUCCAUGACGGCGCGCGCGGCCAAGGUUUCCCGGUGGACGCCGCGAGUACGGCCAUGUCCAUCGCGCUCCACGACGGCGCACGCGGGCAUGGCCUCCCGACGAGUGCCGCAAGCACGUGCGUGGCCAUGGCGCUCCACAACGGCGGGCGCGGCCACGGCGCGCGCAAGUUCCCUAGGAAAGCUCGACGGAUCCAAGCACGUUGAGGGCUGGGGCAGCGCGGCGACGACGGGGCAGCGCAGCGAUGACGGGGUAGUGCAGCGAGGUCGAGUUCAUCCAUGGCAGCUCGCAUGGCAGCAGGUUCUUGUUUGAGAGAGAGAGACAUGAGGAAUGAAGGAAAAGAAAGGGGCGGCGAGAGGAGCUCUAGCGGCUUGACAGUGGCAGCCAUGUCUGGGAUUACCGCCGACCAGCGGCUUGAUAAGCGCACAUUAGCUGUUUGAUGAAAUGCCCAGGAAGAAAAUGCCUAGGAGAAAAAGAAAAAAAGGAAAAAGAGAUAAACACUCGAGUCAUUGACAGGUGUGACCCUCGUCCAACUCAGCAAAUUGUCCACAUAAGCACGCCAUGUCAGCCCGACAGGUGGGCCCCACCUGUCGGUUUUGCUGUUUUCACGACUAAAUUCCAGCAUCAGUGCUCCGUGUUACGCAUUAGACGCAUUUUUUGUGGUUUUUUGUGCCCUGGCUUGAAUGUGGUAUCAAGUUGUUACCCUAACUCCAACUGUGAUGGUCCGCCUGAGCAAAUCGAUCUGUCGGCUGUCUGCGAAUAUGUGCAGCUACCUCACCUACUCCCUCCAUCCAUGAAUAAGACCUCCUCCAAUGCACUAGUGCUAAGAUAAGGUGCUAAGCACAUUAAAAAUCUAAGCAACUAAAGUCCCCAAUGCAAAGGUGCUUGGCUUGUUGUUGCUAAGCAUCCUUUAUUUAAUGAUUUAGCAACUAAAGCUGUCCAUGCAUUGGUGGGAUUCUUUCAUUUAAGUGUUUUCCCUAGGUUCCCGCGCUUGGCAUUGUGUUAACACCAGAUUUUGGCAUGGUCACGAAUCAGGGUUCGUAUGCAAAAGUUAGAGGCAACACUUCGCGGGCCGGCCCUGAGUGAGAAAGUAUUCGGCCUUUGCGGGCUGAAUGAAACCUUGCCGGGGUAAAACCUUGCCGAUGUGAGGGCUUACCGAUGUGGAAAGCUUGCCGGCGGAGAAGCCUGCCGGCGUGGAAAGCUUGCCGGCGAAGAAGCUUGCCGGUGUGAAAUCUUGUCGAGGGAGAAACCUUGCCGAAGAGGAACUCUUGCUGGGGUAGAAUCCUUGCUGAGGAGGAACUCUUGCUGGGGUAGAAACCUUGCCGAGCUAGGGAGAACCCUUGCCGGUGUAAAAACCUUGCCGGGGUGAAACCUUGUCGGUGCGGAAAGCUUACCCGGGUGGAAGGCCUGCCGGGGUGGAGGUUGUGAUAGUCAAUCCGACCAGAAGCUGAAGAUGGGCUCAAAUGAUUAUCUAGAUGGACUCAAAUGGAGAAGUGAUCUACAUGAAAGAGUUCCGUAUUAUUGAUAUGAACAUCUUUGAAAUUUGGGUUAUUGCCGUCGGAUUUCAUCUCGAAGGCCGAAACUAUGCUCGAAGUACCAAGAUCUUAUAUUCAAAGUACAGUUUAGCUGAUUAAGCCCCCAAGACGACCUCAAAUGAAAAAAAGAUCUACAAGGGUUGUCUUCGUCUCGUCGAAACGAUCGAUUUUGAUAUAAAAAUUGUUCAAAUCCGAGUUCGUAUGCAAAAGUUAGAGUAAUCGAAGUGCAGCCCUGUCACGAGGCGAGACGUGGCGCGCCCCAUCAGACACAUGUCUGACGGGUAGCGCGAGGAGAUAGCCUGUGUUGCGAGACCGAUCUGACCCUCAAGAUGAUAUCUUAUCAAAAAACCUUCAACAUGAAAGUUGUUCGUCUCAUCGAAACGGUUAAGAUUGCUUUUGGGCUUGUUUUCAUCCGAGAUCGUUUACCACCGCAAAAAGGACCCGCAAGGUGCAGCCAGUUUAAACCGAACAGUUUUGGAAAGUUUGGAUAAAACCAGUCCGAAUUUGACUAGGGUUUUGGACGUGAAUUGAUAUAAUUUUCUUGUAAGGAAAGCCUAGAUAAAUUCUUUGCUUGUACAGGAAGUCCAGCCGCCUCUUAUAUAUGUUGGGGGUGACGGCCGAUUGAAACAACACCAAUCGAAUCAAUCUAUCAAUUACACUUUUGUGUUCAUCUACUUUUACUCCUUACCCUUGUAUCUUUCUUUCUCGUUCUUCCUUCGUUCUUCGCGUUGGAGGGCAGCGAUCCACGAGGCUCUAGGGGCGAGCGAAUCGACCUAGGGCAGCCCAUAGCCGCCGCAAUCCCUGACGGGGUCCCUCCCGGGUGCGCGGGGUUUCGGGUCUGCAAAAGCGCCCGCCGGCUGUCCUGCGUAUCGCGCUGUUGGUCGGGUCUCCUUCGACGUGAGCUGCGGUGCAUCACCCCCGGCGUCGAGGGUACACAGGACGUGUUCGUGUGUCAACACACUUUUUGGCGACUCCGCUGGGGACGAAGCUUUGAACAGCCUCCAGCCUGUUCUUGCUACGAGGGGAGCGUCAUCAAGUGGCUGCAAUCUACAACGGUAACAUGUAUCAUCAAUCUCCUUGCAUAGAUGCAAGUAGCCAUUAUGUUGAUGUUGCUAGAUCUUUCAACGGACAUGUGAUGUCGGCCAGCCCUAAUGAGCAAAGGCCGACUAGUUAUUCCAUUGGAGAAACUUGGAAUUUACAGAAUCGUAACAUGCAACUUAUGAAUCUGAACUUUCGUGCAUCGGCAACAUCUUUCAAUAUGCCGGUGAACAACACGAUUUGUUCGAGUGAUCAAUAUAGAACACCUCAUGUACAGGAGGGCAUCUCAAAGUUUUAUCCAUCGGCAACCGACUCGCAAUAUGCGGGUUCAUCCCCAAACAUGCCGAUGAAUGGGGGAAUCGGCCAUGCUUAUGUUAGCUAUUUGGCCAGUUAUCCUCAAACAUCAUAUACUACACCUCAUCAGAUUAAUUGUUCAGUGGCGUAUAAAACUAAAAAUAUUCAUGACUCAGCUCACCUUCACGGUCAUGGUCGAGUGAAUGGAGAUUCUAUAAGAGCAUAUGUGCCUAAUAUUGCAGGAGAUGAGGUGGCUCUGGCUGCAUUAAAAAUUUUAGCCCAAAAUAAGAAGAUUAGUGCUAUUUGCCUUGAGCAACAUGACAAGGGAUUGGUUCCUGAUUAUGAGGCAAUAAGAGCUAGGGUUUUGAAAGAAGACCAAGUGUUGCCGAUUGAUCAAAUUGUCGAGAGAAAAUAUUCAACAACGAUGCACAUGCCUUCACCUAUCAUUGCAGCAUGUUAUACACCCCCUAUACAAGCGCAAAAUUUCGGCAACAUCAAUUCAUUGCUGAAAAAUCCUAAAAGUAUUGGGGGGGCAAGCCGAUCCAAGCAGGGUUGAGUUUAAAGAAAAAUAUCUGGCCCAAGUGGACAAGAUCAAGCCAAAGCUCACAGGGAAUAGAGUCAACGAAUUUACUACACCUACCCUUGAGGAAUUACUAGCAGAAUAUCGACAGGCCUACGAAGCACUUAAGAAGAAGCAUGGAGAGGGAUAUUUGCAAGAAUACGUCAAGUGCCUUCCUCCAUGUAGCAACCAUGUUGGCCCUUCUACACUGUUGAGGCAAGAUAAAAAAGAAGCUUUACAAGCAAACUAGCAAAAAAGGAUUCACUCGGCUAAUAUGGUGGAUUUGGUUGAAACCGGAUUGAGCAACGGGAUGUUUAAGGCCAAGUGCGUUGCAUCAUGCCGACCGAGUGCAUCGUUCCAGACGAGUGCAUCACCAGCUAAAGCCGAGUGCAUCAAGCCAACUAUUGCCUCGUGUACCAAAAUAGAAGAUGCAAGCUUGGCUGAGCAAAGGAACGACAAACGCAACAAAUUGGUUGUGCUCAAUUUUUCUGGAUGUAAGGAAGCUUACAUGCUACCUUAUGAGUUUCGUGCUAAAGAUAUUGAUGAGCAUCAAGAACACAGUAAUAUGGCUGAACACAGUUCAGUUAACGAUGAACAUCAAGACCAAGAAAAUGCAGCCAAGCAAAGUUCAACUGACAAAGAGCGUCCGAGUGAAAUCCACUCGGGCAAUCCGACUGAAAUAUACUCGGGCAAUCCGAGUGAUGAGGCACCAGAUCUAGAAAAAGAGGAAGAGGCGUUGGAAAAUUAUUCAGAAGUGGUUCGUACUAGAAGGGGUACUCUUUGAGGUCCUUGGUGUUGGUUGAAUAGAUGAGAUUGUGUGACGCAUAUCGUAUAAUCAUACCCACGGAUACUUGAGGUGACAUUGGAGUAUCUAGGUGACAUUAGGGUUUUGGUUGAUUUGUGUCUUAAGGUGUUAUUCUAGUACGAACUCUAGGGCUGUUUGUGACACUUAUAGGAAUAGCCCAACGGAUUGAUUGGAAAGAAUAACUUUGAGGUGGUUUCGUACCCUACCAUAAUCUCUUCGUUCGUUCUCCGCUAUUAGUGACUUUGGAGUGACUCUUUGUUGCAUAUUGAGGGAUGGUUAUGUGAUCCAAUUAUAUUAUUAUUGUUGAGGGAACUUACACUAGCGAAAGUAUGAACCCUAGGCCUUAUUUCCUAUCAUUGCAAUACCGUUUAUGCUCACUUUUAUCACUUGCUACCUUGCUGUUUUUAUAAUUUCAGAUUACAAAUACCUUUAUCUACUAUCCAUAUUGCACUUGUAUCACCAUCUCUUCGCCGAACUAGUGCACCUAUACAAUUUACCAUUGUAUUGGGUGUGUUGGGGACACAAGAGACUCUUUGUUAUUUGGUUGCAGGGUUGCUUGAGAGAGACCAUCUUCAUCCUACGUCUCCUACGGAUUGAUAAACCUUAGGUCAUCCACUUGAGGGAAAUUUGCUACUGUCCUACAAACCUCUACACUUGGAGGCCCAACAACGUCUACAAGAAAAAGGUUGUGUAGUAGACAUCACUGACAUUCUCCCUCUUUAUGUAAACCUUGUAAAAUAAGAGAGAGCAGGCAUAAGUAUUGUGACAUAAUGUGUAAUAACAUCCCAUAAUGCAAUAAAUAUCGAUAUAAAAGCAUGAUGAAAAAUGGAUGUAUCAGUGGGCCGGAUGACUAAGAGUCGUCGCGGCAAGCUCUACAUCAACGACGAUGGCUGGGGCCCCGAGGUCGGCUCAAUCGAGUACGGGUACCGGGUCCCCUUCGGCGGAAUCUGAAGGAAAUAUGCCCUAGAGGCAAUAAUAAAGUUAUUAUUUAUUUCCUUAUUUCAUGAUAAAUGUUUAUUAUUCAUGCUAGAAUUUUAUUAACCAGAAACUUGAUACAUGUGUGAAUACAUAGACAAACAGAAUGUCACUAGUAUGCCUCUACCUGACUAGCUCGUUGAAUCAAAGAUGGUUAAGUUUCCUAGCCAUAGACAUGAGUUGUCAUUUGAUUAACGGAAUCACAUCAUUAGAGAAUGAUGUGAUUGACUUGACCCAUUUUGUUAUCUUAGCACUUGAUCGUUUAGUAUGUUGCUAUUGCUUUCUUCAUGACUUAUACAUGUUCCUAUGACUAUGAGAUUAUGCAACUCUCUUUUACCGGAGGAACACUUUGUGUGCUACCAAAUGUCACAACGUAACUGGGUGAUUAUAAAGGUGCUCUACAGGUGUCUCCAAAGGUACUUAUUGAGUUGGCAUAUUUCGAGAUUAGGAUUUGUCACUCCGAUUGUCGGAGAGGUAUUUCUGGGCCCUCUCGGUAAUGCACAUCACUAUAAGCCUUGCAAGCAUUGUGACUAAUGAGUUAGUUGCGGGAUGAUGCAUUACGGAAUGAGUAAAGAGACUUGCCGGUAACGAGAUUGAACUAGGUAUUGAGAUACCGACGGUCGAAUCUUGGGCAAGUAACAUACUGAUGACAGAGGGAACAAUGUAUGUUGUUAUGCGGUUUGACCGAUAAAGAUCUUCGUAGAAUAUGUAGGAACCAAUAUGAGCGCCCAGGUUCCGCUAUUGGUUAUUGACCGGAGACAUGUCUCGGUCAUGUCUACAUAGUUCUCGAACCCGUAGGGUCCGCACGCUUAACGUUCGGUGAUGAUCGGUAUUAUGAGUUUAUGUGAUUUGAUGUACCGAAAGUAGUUCGGAGUCCCGGAUGAGAUCGGGGACAUGACAAGGAGUCUCGAAAUGGUCGAGACGUAAAGAUCGAUAUAUUGGACGACUAUAUUCGGACAUCAGAAAGGUUCCGAGUGGUUCGGGUAUUUUUUGGCAUACCGGAGAGUUACGGGAAUACGGGGGAGAAGUAUUGGGCCUAAUGGGCCAAGUGGUGGAAGAGAGGAGGCAGGGUGCGCGGCACCCCUAGCCCAAACCGAAUUGGACUAGGGGGCCGGCCCCCCUUUCCUCCUUUCCUCCCUCUCCUUCCUUCUCCCCUUCCCCCUUCCUUUCCUCCUCCUAGUAGGAGUAGGAAAGGGGAGUCCUACUCCUACUAGGAGGAGGACUCCUCCUCCUGGCGCGCUAGAAAGUUGAUCCUUUAUAUACGGGGGCAGGGGGCACCCUAGAAAGUUGAUCAUUGAUCCCUUAGCCAUGUCUCCACCAUAAUCCACCUCGAUCAUAUCGUACCGGUGCUUAGGCGAAGCCCUGCGUUGGUAGCAACAUCAUCACCGUCAUCACGCUAUCGUGCUGACGGAACUCUCCUGUGAAGCUCUGCUGGAUCGGAGUUCGUGGGACGUCAUCGAUGUUAUAUGCACGAGUAGAACACAAGUGAGUUGUGGGCGAUACAAGUCAUAUUGCUUACCAGCAUGUCACACUUUGGUUCGGCGGUAUUGUUGGAUGAAGCGGCCCGGACCGACAUUACACGUACGCUUACGCGAGACUGGUUCUAUUGACGUGCUUUGCACACAGGUGGCUGGCGGGUGUCAGUUUCUCCAACUUUAGUUGAACCGAGUGUGGCUACGCCCGGUCCUUGAGAAGGUUAAAACAUCACUAACUUGACGAACUAUCCUUGUGGUUUUGAUGCGUAGGUAAGAACGGUUCUUGCUAAGCCCGUAACAGCCACGUAAAACUUGCAACAACAAAGUAGAGGACAUCUAACUUGUUUUUGCAAGGCAUGUUGUGAUGUGAUAUGGUCAAGACGUGAUGAGAUAUAAAUUGUUGUAUGAGAUGAUCAUGUUUUAUUGAAGUUGUCGGCAACUGGAAGAAGCCUUAUGGUUGUCUCUUUAUUGCAUAAGAUGCAAGCGCCAAAUAAUUGCUUUACUUUAUCACUAUGCGAUAGCAAUAGUUGCAAGAGCAAUAGUUGGCGAGACAACCAUGUGAUGACACAUUGAUAAAUAUCAAGAUGAUGGAGAUCAUGGUGUCAUGCCGGUGACGAUGGAAAUCAUGAUGAUACUUUAGAGAUGGAGAUCAAAGGCGCAAUAUGAUCAUGGCCAUAUCAUGUCGCAUAUUUUGAUUGCAUGUGAUGUUUAUCUUUUAUACAUCUUAUUUUGCUUAGUUCGGCGGUAGCAUUAUAAGAUGGUCUCUCACUAAAUUUCAAGGUAAAAGUAUUCUCCCUGAGUAUGCACCGUUGUCAAAGUUCGCCGUGCCGAGACACCACGUGAUGAUCGGGUGUGAUAAGCUCUAUGUUCAUCUACAACGGGUGCAAGAAAGUUUUGCACACGCAGAAUACUCGAGUUAAACUUGACGAGCCUAGCAUAUGCAGAUAUGGCCUCGGAACACUGGAGACCGAAAGGUCGAGUGUGAAUCAUAUAGUAGAUAUGAUCAACAUAGUGAUGUUCACCAUUGAAAACUACUCCAUCUCACGUGAUGAUCGGACAUGGUUUAGUUGAUUUGGAUCACGUGGUCAUUUAGAUGACUAGAGGGAUGUCUAUCUAAGUGGGAGUUCUUAAGUAAUAUGAUUAAUUGAACUUUAAUUUAUCAUGAACUUAGUCUGAUAGUAUUUGUAUAACUAUGUUGUAGAUCAAUAGCUCGUGAUGUUGCUCCCCGUUUAUUUUUAAUAUGUUCCUAGAGAAAAAUUAUGUUGAAAGAUGUUAGUAGCAAUGAUGCGGAUUGGAUCCAUGAUCUAAGGAUUAUCCUCAUUGCUGCACAGAAGAAUUAUGUCCUUGAUGCACCGCUAGGUGACAGACCGAUUACAGGAGCAGAUACAGAUGUUAUGAACGUUUGGCAAGCUCGAUAUGAUGACUACUUGAUAGUUUAGUGCACCAUGCUUUACGGCUUAGAAUCGGGGCUUCAAAGACGUUUUGAACGCCACAGAACAUAUAAGAUGUUCUAAGAGUUGAAAUUGGUAUUUCAUACUCAUGCCCGUGUCAAGAGGUAUGAGACCUCUGACAGUACUUUGCCUACAAGAUGGAGGAGAAUAGAUCAACCAGUGAGCAUGUACUCAGAUUGUCUGGGUACUACAAUUGCUUGAAUCAAGUGGGAGUUAAUCUUCCAGAUAAGAUAGUAAUUAACAAAGUUCUCUAGUCACUAUCACCAAGUUACUAGAACUUCAUGAUGAACUAUAAUAUGCAAAGGAUGACGAAAGUAAUUCUCGAGCUCUUCGCGAUGCUGAAAUUGGCGAAGGUAGAAAUCAAGAAAAACAUCAAGUGUUGAUGGUUGACAAGACCACUAGUUUCAAGAAAAGGGGCAAAUGGAAGAAGGGGAACUUUAAGAAGAAUGGCAAGCAAGUUGUUGCUCAAGUGAAGAAGCCCAAGUUUGGACCUAAGCAUGAGACUAAGUGCUUCUUGUUCGCACACAAACACGUCACCGUGUACCUCCAAUGCCGAGGGUGAUGCACCGCAGCUCACGUCGAAGGAGACCCGGCCGGAAGCGUGGUAUGCAGGCAAUCCAGCAGGCGCUUUUGAAGACCCGAAACCCCACACGCCCGGGAGGGACCCCGUCUGAAUGUGUAGCAGCUAUGGGCUGCCAUAGGUCGACCUGAUCGCCCCUAGGGCCUCGAGGUUCGCCGCCCUGCAAAGAAGAAGAAUAGAUGAAGAACGAGGAAGAAGAAGAACUAGGGUUAAGGAGAAAAGAUAAAGGAUAAAAAGUGAUAGAUGAUUUGAUCAAUUGUAUGUUGUUCAAUCGGCCGUCACCCCUUAGAUGUAUAAGAGGUGGCUGGACUUCCCAUGCAAGGAAAAGGCUUGAAUUCACGUCCAAAACCCUAGUCAAAUUUGGAUUGGUUUUGUCCGAACUUUCCAAAACUGUUCGGUUUAAACUGGCUGCACCUUACGGGUCUUUUUUGUGGUGGUAAACGAUCUCGUAUGAAAACGAGCCCAAAAGCAAUCUUGACCGUUUCGACAAGACGAACAACUUUUGUGUUGAACGUUUUUUAAUCAGAGGUCAUCUUGAGGAUCAAAUCAGUCGCGCAAAACAGGCUAUUCCCUCGCGCUACCCAUCACACAUGUGUCUGGUGGGGCGCGCCACAUCUCGCCUCGUGACAGGGCUGCACUCCGAUUUGGACGAUUUUUAUAUCAAAAUCGACCGUUUCAACGAGAAGAAGACAAUUCGUGUAGACCAUUUUUCCAUAUGAGGCAGUCUUGAGGGCGUAAUCAGCUGAAUAGUGUUCUGAAUACAAAAUCUCAGAACUUCGAACAUAACUUCGGCCUUAGAGAUGAGACCGGAUGGCUAUGGCGCAAAUAUCAAAGUUUCUCCUUUUGACGAUACGGAACUUUCUCACAUUGAGCACUUUUCCAUUUGAGGUCUUCUUAAUUAUGCUUUUGACCAUGCCAAAAUCUGGUGUCAACACAUGCCCCCCUGUUUUUCGGCAAAGCAUGUGUGCCGAAAAAUAACUUGCGCAUAGCUUGUUCUAAGGACGAUGCCAACACUCCAUCGGCCAUUUUGCAUGUUCUUAGAACGAUAAGUAUAUAUCGGCCAUUGCUUGUUUGAACCUCUUGAUGCAAACUUCGGUGAAAACUUCUCAGCUUCUAUAACAAUCCAGUGAUAAGGUUCCAUAGAUCAAAACCAUCCCCCGAACCAUAUUAUUCCCCCUUUUGCUAGGAUUUUGCAGAUAAUCAAGAAUGGACUUCCUUCAAUCCUUACUUCAUCUCAUGAUAAACUAAAAGUGAUUCGUCAAAACAUUUAUAGCUUUUAUUGUUGUACUACUCAUAACAAAUCACCGAAAGCCUCAAUAUGUAUAGCACCUAUAGCAAGGAAAAGCUCCAAUCCGAAUAACAAUGCAUAUUUGGCUUUGAUCAUUUGUGCAUAAAUAUUUUAAGCGGCAUGAGGUUUCACAAAAUAGCACCAUAAGGAGAUAUAUAAACAACACCAACACCUUGGCCAUUGCUACAAAUUUGACCAUCAAUAUAUAACCGCCAUGGUACUAGAGAGAUCAAGCUAAAACCAAUAUUAUGUAUGACAUUAAUCCGAUGUUCAGUAAUAAAAUCAACUAUGAUUUGGCCUUUUAUAGAUCUCAAAGAUGCAUAAGCCAAAUCGUAUCCAAAAAAAGUAUAAGCCCACUAACCAAUUCUACAGCUAUGAAUUGGUCUAUGCAGCAUAUAUUCAAUGAUAUCGGUCAAGAUGUCUCAACUCCAUUCAAUCAUAAUAUAGGCAUGCAUAUAAAUUUCCAUGAGCACGUACCUUGUCUCGCUCUCCAAUCGAACUAAGCACGAUGUUAGAGUACUACACCGGCCAUGCGUUGACAUAAUCUUAGGACGAUAGAUAAAUAUCGGCCAUUACCAUGUAAACUUCAUUCAAAGCACAUAUAGCUGAAAUAAAUAAAUGAAAUGACAAAUCAAGUAUUUCAUCCCUUUGGAUCAGCAACAAACUUGUAGCUAAUCAAAUGUAUAGUGACUUGGUAAUACCCUUUCAUGACGUAAGAAAUUAUAUUGCAUCCAUGGAUUAAAAUAAGCCCAUUGAGGGUUACCAAUCAUACCUAAUGACGAAUUCCAUGACAUAGGCGUUAAUGGCAUAGUUGAAGAAUAUGGAUAAUGUGUAGACCAAGAAUGUUGAAACCUUCGGCUUGGUCCUUCAUAGUUUUCACUCUUUUCCUUCUUCACCUUUGUCGCACUUAUUGUAAUGUAAGCUUGCACAUAAUUCUUAUUUUGAGCACUUCCUUUGGGAACCCGUGCCAUGUUCCUUUCUUCAAGUUCUUGUGCACUAAGUUUUUGUAAUUUCUUCUUUUGCCAAUACGAUGAGCCGAGUGGGUAUCUCGGCUGCGAUUCUGUUUUGACCAAUGACAACUCUUUUUCGGCCUUGUGCACUCUCAACUUCUUUUCUUCAGAUUUGGCACUUUGACUUUCAAUAAUUGGUUGCUUCAUCUCAUUGCCUUUAGUAGCCAAUGUCAACACUUUAAUUGGCUCUUUGUUAUUUGAGAUCAAAUCUGAAGUAGCACACUUACGACCAUCUCUUUUAACACGGUACACUUGUUUGACCACCUCUUUCUUCUUCUUUGAGCUCCGGACCAAUUCCUUAUGAUUGAAACGGUCUUUAACAUAUAAUUGUUCAAAUGUUGAUCUUCUCGGAGAUGCAUAAUAUGAGUGAGAUGGUCUAAAAUAAGAUGGAGAGUGUACCCUUGUAUCAUACCUGUCCCAUGAUGGAUAUGGAUCUACAUGAGCAUAGGGAUGCAUCCACGGCAUUGGCACUGGCAGCCCAAAAUAAGGAUAUGAAUAUGUUGCAUUAAAAUGCUCGGUUUGCCAAUACCAUCCUCAUAUUUGUGCCUUGGGGACGGUCUUGGUUUCUUUGCAUGAUCUGGUCGAUAAGCAUUCUUAUCUUCACUCUUCUUUUGAUAUUUAUCCAAUAGUUCAGUGAAGGUGAUUUUUGAUCUCUUACACUGGCGCUUAUUUCGGCCUUUGUUUUCUUUUGGUUCGCUUUCAUCGAUCACUGGAUUUGCUUGUUGCCCCCCAGUCCUUAGCAUCUUCAUUGUAGCUUCGAUGGAAUUCUCGCCCUCAAGAUUAUGUUCAUUAUGCUCUUCAAAAACUUCUUUACUUGAAAGCUUGAUCCCAUCAUCUGCAGCUUUUACCUUCUCUUAAAAUGGAUCGUCUUGAAGCAGCCGAUGCAAAAAAAUUCUGCCAUCGGGACCAAUCAGAAUAGACUGGUCAUCUCUUGGUGUCUCAACAAAUUUCAAUCGUCCUUUAUCAAUGGCUGAUUUAACUAUUUGACGAAACAUGUUACAAUCCUCAAAGUUAUGCUUGGAUGAAUCAUGCAACUUACAAUACAUUCGUCCCUGGACAGAUGGCUCAACAUGAUGAUCAAGAAUUCUAAUAUAAUUAUUUCUCAACAACAAAUCAAAUAUUUGAUCACACAUGCUUGAAUUGAAGGUAAACUUUUUAUUCUCUAGCCGAUCUUGUUGUGAGAACGGCUUUGGAGUUAAGCAGACGAAUGGUUCAGAUUUUGCAUCACCCCAUUCGGCUAUGCAUUGUGUUUUGCACUCUAUCUUUGAUGUCUUUGGAUAAGAAACUAUACUGGCAUCGGUUUGCUCAGAAGAUUUUAACGUUGGCUUUAAAUUUUUGAAACCAAAAUAGCUAGAACAUACAUGUCUCAAUUGAGACCAAGUGUAAGCCAAGUAAGAAAUAAGCAGAGCUACCCAAUUAGAUAUGAGCAUUAGAUAAAGCAAUGGGGAAAGCCUUGGCUGCAAUAAUUUUUCGCAAUCGGUCUUUUUGAAUGGUGCAAUAUGUUGACCGAUAUGCUUUGUGACAAUCUGAUUGCUAACAGAUAAAUUACCCUUCUUCAUUGGUCUCUCAAUAUUUGUUAUGAAGAUUUUUCUAAUAUAUGCAUCAACAACUAAGUCAUGACCAAAUCUAAAAACAGGUAAAUUAAUUGCUAGACAUACAUCUUCAAAUAUGUUGGGAGAGCAUGAUGGUGGUGUGACUUGAAGAAUAUCUUGCUCUGCCUUCGGAUAGCUCCCCAGUGCCUUGUCAUCAUCUUUCUCUUGAUUUAGUGCAUCAUUAGUUUGAAGAACUUCGUCCACCAACUUUCUUCGGCCACUCGUUCUUGUUCUUGAAGCUCAUCAAUUUCUAUGGCACGAAACUCAUAGGGCAGGAAGUAGGUUCCAUUAACUUCAGAAAAAUCAAGUAUGGUUGUCUUGCUAUACUUUCCAUGCCCUUUCUCAACAAUGUUUGCCUCUUUGGAUUUGAUGGAUUCGGAAUAUAUACUGCUUGAUUCGGCUUUUUCAACCGAAGCACUUUUAGUUUCCGAAUCAUCAUUCUUUUCACCGGGUUAUAUCAAUUGGCAAGGAUUCUUUUCUUUGAGCUAAUUCCCUAUCAAUUCUUUCUUGGCGAAGUACUUGCACCCUAUCACGCAAAGCUUUAACUCUCCUCUCAAUUUCAGUCCGUCCGCUCUAGAUUAGUUUGCCCCCCAAUGCUUUUAGGAUCUUUCGGCAAUGAAGUUUUAGUGUUGCUGAAAUUUUGCAAUUGUGUAGGGGGUAUAUAAUAUGUUGUGGUACUAGGUAGAGGUGUAUGCACUGUUGUAUAACCAUAUGCUCUCUCACCAAUGCUAUCAAUUGAUGAAGUUUUAUCUUCCUGCAAAACUCUAGCCUUUAUUGCAGUAUAAUCAGGAAACAACCCAUUUUCAUAUUGUUCAAGGUAAAGAGCACUAAUUCUCUUGUUUUGUGUCAAGCUCUUUUUUAAUGCAGCCAUAACCGUUUCUGGAAGGGAUUGCUCCGCAAUACUUUCAGAUUCUUUCGGCAAUGAUUUGUGAGUGUUGCCAAAAUUCUUGAAUUGCAUAGAGUAUGCAUUAUAUGCUACAGUAUUUGAUGACGGCACAUGUGUUCCUGUAAAAGUUUCACUUAUUCGGCUAACCUCUGAGGUUUGUUAGACAUGUCAUCUCUGACCUCUGUGUGCAUUUGUUAUGACCGGCUUGGUCUAUUCUAGGAAGAGGCCCACCGGGCAUUAGUAUUAGGGGCUUGGCCCACAAGUUAUCUUAGGCAAAUUAUCUUAGGAAAGUUAUCUUAGGCUAAAGUUAUAAAUACUCAUGUAAGACAUCGUUUUGAGGCAAGCAAUAAAGACUAUUAUUAUCUUUUGUUGCCCGGCUCCUAGAAGAGCCAGAAACCCUAGCCGCCGCAGCCAAGCCGCCGCCGCCCUCAACCCUAGCCGCGACGGCGCCCUGCCGCCGGCGCGCCCAUUCCUCACCGUGUCCACUCCCUCCUUGCCCCUACAACCUACGCAGUAGAGCCGGUAGGAACCCUAGUCCUACCAAUUUGGUAAUCAGAGACCACGUUGCGAUCAUGUCGCUGCCGCCAUCACCGCCGCCGCUGCCCGUCGGUACCACCGCGCCCAUGACGAUGGCGCCAAUCAUCACCGCGCUGACCACAUCCGCCGGGACCUCGCUGGCGUGUCCCAUCUCCUCCUCGGCACCGCCGUCUCCGGGCGCAUCUGCACCAUCGCCGGUGGCCGCCUUGUCUCUGGAGCAACUCGCCGCCACGCUACAUCACCUCGUCACCGCCGUCCACGGUCUUCAGCUCCAACAGCAAUAUGGGGCCGGGGCCUACGCUCACCCGCUGUCGGCCCCGAUCGCCGCCCCUGGUCUUCUCCUAUAGCAGCAGCCGCAGUACAGGGGCGGGGCGGGCCCCUUCACGCCACCACCAGGACCGCACCAGGGCGCGCCCGCGUACGGCGGGUCCCCGUUCUGGCCGAUCCAGGCGGGCUUGGCAUCCGGGCCAGCGCCGGCUGCGGCGCCCCUCUGGCCUUUGCCGCCGGCAACCUCGGCCGCCUCCUGGCUGCAGCAGCCGCCGCCCACCGUCUGGCCGGUUCAGCAGACGCCGUCCCCCGCAUGGCCGGUCCAGCAGCCGCCGCCGCCGGCGUCCCAGGUCCUGCUUCCACCGCCGUUCUCCGCGCCCUCAUCAUCCGGGACCAGCUCGGGCGCGGCCUCGACUACCGGGUUACCGAUCCAUCAGGUCCGGUUUCCCCCGUCCCCGUCCCCCCUGCCACCAUGGGCGGCGGGGUCUUCGCCUUCGCCGGUCUACACCACGACCCCGGUUGAGCCGACUCCGUUCCCGCAGUUCGGCGGGCCAUCUGGCCCCGCCGGCCCGUACCCGGACUACUCCGAUCAGGCACCCCCUGCUUCACUGUUCUGAGCCCCCGAGCCUGCUCGGCACGGCGGGCCGCAGCAGACACCGCCGCGGUUCACCAAACUCGACUUCGCCACCAAUGAGGGCACGGAGGACCCCCUCAACUGGCUCAACCAGUGCGAGCAGUUCUUUCGAGGGCAGCGGACGCUCGCUUCAGAUCGUACCUGGCUCACAUCCUAUCAUCUUCGAGACGCAGCGCAGACCUGGUACUACGCCCUCGAGCAGGACGAGGGCGGCAUGCCACCGUGGGAGCGCUUUCGGGAGCUCUGUCUCCUCCGUUUUGGGCCUCCUAUCCGCGGGAGCCGACUGGCGGCCCUCGGCCGUUUACCAUUCACAUCUACAGUGCAGGACUACGCCGACCGCUUCCAGGCCCUGGCGUGCCACGCGCCGGGCGUCUCCGCGACCCAGCGCGCCGAGCUCUUUGUGGGCGGUCUGCCGGACCAUAUCCGCAUCGACGUCGAGCUCCGGGAUCCCCCCGACCUCUAGACGGCCAUGUACUAUGCCCGGGCCUUCGAGCGGCGGGCCCAGGCACUGCAGCAGCCACUCGGAUGGAGCGGUCGCCAGCCCAGUUGGCUAGCACUGACUUCCUCAGCCCCGGGUCGGCCUCUCCCAGCCGUGACGGCCACACCCCCGGCCGCCACACGGCCCUUCCGUCGGCUGUCACCGGCCGAGCAGCAGGAGCGUCGCCGUCAGGGUCUCUGCUUCAACUGCGAUGAGCCCUAUACGCCGACCCAUGUCUGCCCCCGCCUCUUUUAUUUAGAGACGGUCGACUACACCGAGGAGGACGACUUGCCCGACCCGUUACAUCCGCCUGCGGCGCCCGAGGACGCGGCCGCGGAUUCCGCAGCAACGGCGUGCAUCGUCUCCCUUCACGCCCUGGCCGGCAUCCGGGGUGAGCGGACCAUGCUGCUGCCCGUGACGAUCCAUGGCGAGCGACUGGUGGCCCUGCUGGAUACGGGCUCCACACACAACUUUCUGCCCGAGUCGACCAUGCGUCGGCUAGCCCUCCCAACGACGGGCGGGGAGCGCCUGCGGAUCACAGUGGCGAACGGCGAUCGCCUCCGGUGCCAUGGGCUAGCCCGCGACGUUCCCAUCUCCAUCGGCGGCGAACACUUUUCCAUCACCUGUGUAGGGAUCGAUCUGGGCUGCUUCGACUUCAUCCUCGGGGUGGACUUUCUCCGGACCCUCGGCCCCAUCCUGUGGGAUUUCGACGCGCUCACGAUGACAUUCUGGCGGCAGGGCCGCCACAUCCGGUGGGAGGGCAUUGGGGGCGCCGCGCCUGCCGUGCCACACCUCCAGCUGGCUGCCGCGUCCUCGGAGGCCGAGCACCCCCUGCUGGAUUCUCUUCUGCAGCAGCACAGCGACCUCUUCGACGAUCCGCGGGGUCUUCCACCGGCCCGGGUGUACGACCAUCAUAUUCACCUCGUACCAGGCUCCACUCCGGUGGCGGUACGGCCCUACCGCUACCCCCAGCUGCAGAAGGAUGAGUUGGAGCGCCAAUGUGCCCUGAUGCUCGCCGCAGGCAUCAUCCGGAUCUCCACGUCGCCCUUCACGGCGCCGGUGCUUCUCGUCCGUAAGUCAGACAGCACAUGGCGCUUCUGCAUCGACUACCGCGCCCUCAACGCACUCACGCUCAAGGACAAGUUCCCUAUACCGGUGGUCGACGAGCUCUUGGAUGAGCUCCAUGGGGCACGCUUCUUCACCAAGCUCGAUCUCCGGUCGGGCUAUCAUCAGGUGCGCAUGCAUCCGGACGACAUCGCCAAGACGGCGUUUCGCACCCACCAUGGCGACUUCGAGUUCUUGGUGAUGCCUUUCGGCCUCGCCAACGCCCCGGCGACGUUCCAGGCCCUGAUGAACGACGUCCUUCGACCCUACUUACGGCGGUUUGUGCUUGUUUUCUUUGAUGACAUUCUUAUCUACAGCGCCACCUGGGCCGAACACCUCCAGCACGUCGCCACCGUCUUCAACGAGCUUCAGGCGCACCACCUCCACCUUAAGCGCUCGAAGUGCUCGUUCGGGACGCCUACCGUCGCCUACCUCGGCCAUGUCAUCUCGGCCGACGGGGUGGCUAUGGACGCCGAUAAGGUGGCGGCCGUCACCGCCGGGCCGACGCCUCACUCGCCGCGGGCUCUCCGCAGGUUCCUCGGACUCGCCGGCUACUACCGAAAAUUUAUCCGGGAGUUCGGACUCAUCGCGGCGCCCCUCACGCGGUUGCUUCGCCGCGACGCCUUCACCUGGGACGACGAGGCGACGACGGUGUUCGAGGCCCUCAAGGGGGCCCUCACGACGGGCCCCGUCCUCAAGAUGCCCGACUUUGACCGUCCGUUCGUGGUGGACUGUGAUGCCUCGGGCGCCGGGUUCGGCGCCGUACUUCAUCAGGGCGAUGGGCCCCUCGCCUUCUUCAGCCGGCCUUUCGCUCCGCGCCAUCUUAAGUUGGCCGCUUACGAGCGGGAGCUCAUUGGCCUAGUCCAGGCCGUGCGUCAUUGGCGGCCAUACUUGUGGGGGCGGACCUUCCACAUUCGCACGGACCACUACAGCCUGAAGUUCAUCCUGGAUCAAUGGCUGCCGACCGUUCCGCGGCACCAGUGGAUCAGCAAGCUCUUCGGCUUUGACUUCUCCGUCGAGUAUCGGCCGGGCCGUCUUAACACCGUGGCCGACGCGCUGUCCCGUCGCGAUUCCGACCUCGCGCCACCCGCCGACGCGUCCGCCGGGACGGCCCUGUGCAUCCGCUCCGGGCCAUCGUCCGGUCUCUUCACCGACAUUCGACGCGCCACUGCGAUGGCCGAUGACGCCGCACUUCUUCAGCAGCAGCUCGCGGACGGCGACUUGGAGGAGCCCUGGCGCUUCUCUGACGGACUGCUCCUCCAUGAACGCCGGAUCUUUGUUCCGGCGCAUGACGAUCUCCGUCACCAGGUGUUGCAGCUCGCUCACUCGGCGGGCCAUGAGGGUGUGCAGAAAACCCUCCAUCGUCUUCGCGCCGAAUUCUACAUCCCUGGCGAUCGUGCCCUGGUCCGCGACUGGGUUCGGUCUUGUCAGACUUGCCAGCGCAACAAGACAGAGACCCUGAGGCCGGCGGGGCUCCUUCAGCCCUUGCAGGUGCCGUCUCAGGUUUGGGCAGAUAUCUCCUUGGACUUCAUCAAGGGCCUUCCCAAGGUGGGGGGCAAGUCAGUCAUCCUCACGGUGGUUGAUCGCUUCUCUAUGUACGCCCACUUCAUCGCGCUGGGCCAUCCGUACACGGCGGCGUCCGUAGCCCGGGCCUUCUUCGACGGCAUAGUCCGUCUACACGGGUUUCCGACGUCGAUCGUCAGUGGUCGGGACCCUGUCUUCACGGGCCAUGUCUGGCGCGACCUCUUCAGGAUGGCGGGUGUCCAGCUCCGCCUGAGUACGGCGUUCCAUCCUCAGACGGACGGUCAGUCUGAGGUGGUUAACAAGGUCAUUGCCAUGUAUUUGCGUUGUGUGACAGGUGAUCGGCCUCGCGCUUGGGUGGACUGGCUCUUUUGGGCGGAGUACUGCUACAACACUUCUUAUCACUCCGCCCUGCGCGCGACGCCAUUUGAGGUGGUCUAUGGUCGACCACCCCCGCCUAUACUUCCGGUCGACCCGGAGAUGGCUCGGACGGCGGUUGCGGGUGACCUUAUCCGCACCCGUGAUGAGAUGCUGGCUGAGGUCCGUCAGCGUCUCCUUCAGGCCCAGCAGACGGCCAAGCACUACUACGACGAUCAUCAUCGCGAGGCGGAGUUCGCAGUGGGUGACUGGGUGGGGCUCCGUCUUCUCCACCGCUCUACGCAGUCACUGGACCCGCGCGCAAAGCGCAAGCUUGGCCCUCGCUACGCCGGGCCAUUCCCUGUCGUGGAGCACAUUGGGAAGGUGGCCUAUCGUCUACAGCUUCCAGCCCGCGCCCGCGUCCACGACGUGUUCCGGCUGCUCAAGCCUUUCUGUGGCGAGCCACCGGCGGCUCCUCCGGCGCUUCCUCCAACCGCCGAUGGUCGCAUUCUUCCAGAGCCAGCAAAGGUGUUGCAGGCUCAGCUCCGUCGUGGCGUCUGGUUCGUCCUAAUUCAGUGGGCGGGCCUUCCGGAGGAGGAGGCUACUUGGGAGCAGCGUGAGGAAUUCCGUCAACACUAUCCAGACUUUCAGCUCGAGGACGAGCUGUUUGCGCAGGCGGGGAGAGAUGUUAUGACCGGCUUGGUCUAUUCUAGGAAGAGGCCCACCGGGCAUUAGUAUUAGGGGCUUGGCCCACAAGUUAUCUUAGGCAAAUUAUCUUAGGAAAGUUAUCUUAGACUAAAGUUAUGAAUACUCAUGUAAGACAUCGUUUUGAGGCAAGCAAUAAAGACUAUUAUUAUCUUUUGUUGCCCGGCUCCUAGAGGAGCCGGGCACCCUAGCCGCCGCAGCCAAGCCGCCGCCGCCCUCAACCCUAGCCGCGACGGCGCCCUGCCGCCGGCGCGCCCGUUCCUCGCCGCGUCCACUCCCUCCUUGCCCCUACAACCUACGCAGUAGAGCCGGUAGGAACCCUAGUCCUACCAGCAUUAUCAUCUCUAACUGUUGCUCAGCUUCUAAUGUUAGCUGCUCUGCUUUGCAUAUGACAGGGUCUGACCGUUUUCCCACAAGGAUACAGAAACCCCAAUGUUCCAGGGUGUACGAAGCGAAAGCAACCUGACUGGGCGCCUUCAGAUUUUGUUGAACAAGGACUUUGUGAAGAUUUUCUGCCUGCUGCAUCGACUAUGGUACAACUUGAGAACCUAUACGCUCAGUUACAGGAGCAUGCGUUAAAUGUUGGGGCCACUUCUUUCAAGUGCAAGAGCGAUAAAAGGGAGCGCACCCAUGUGUCUUCCUUUGUGGACAAAGAAACUCAGGUUACUGCUUUAAUCUUAUCGUUUCUGAAAUUCUUUCUAGGGAAUCUUACUGCUAACCAUUACCUUCUCUUUGACAUCAUACUUACCAUAUUAUCCGAUUCUGGAACAAGAAGCUAGGAAAGUACGUUGAUUUUCUGCGAUAGAAUGCAACCGGGUACAUAGUUGCUUUUCGGGCCUUCGCUGAUAUUAACGCGAUAAAAUACGCUCACUGGUGUUGCUUCAAGGACGACAAGCAGGUCCAAAGUGACUUUCCUGACACCACAUUUGAGGUCACAAAUUAUCAGGCGGGCUACAUAGAUGUGUACGUCAUUUACAAGUCACCUUCUCCUGCUGUCUUGAGUAUCUAUUUUUUCUUUCUUUUUUCCUAUUUUAUCUCUGACAAAGAAAAGAUGUGCAUUUUUUACAGUGCUGCGGUUGUCUUUGGUGUGGACACGGUCCAAUGAUACUUGAUGAGAUUUGCGCAGUACAUGAGGAGUAUGAUCAAGAAACAGUACAUGAGCAUCAUCACAAAACAAAAAAGCUGGUUAAACGUCUUCUGCACUUCUGUUUGUGUUGUUAGGUGAAGGUCCAAGGUUUGAUCUUAUCAAAGCGACUAUAUACUCAAGCAUAGAGAAGUUCUCUCACAAGUAUUGCCUAAAACAUCUUAGAUUAGCCGCUAUUUUGGAAGAAGUAAUUCAAAACUGGUCCAGUCUCUCAAAAACAACAUAUUUCCUAUUGCUUGUGCAUUAUGAAAAGAAGAUAAAGGCGAAGUGCCUUAGGGAGAGACAUGAUCCUGCUGAUAGUUCACUGCCACACUUUAGUCAUCGUCGACUAUUUUUGCAAUUUGAGGCACAUGCUAGGAUAGCAUGGUACCGCUGCUUACAGGUGGAAGUCGGUGAAAAAAAGAUUCAGCAUGUCCUUAAAUUGAGAAAAGAUUCUGUGGAUGGGAAAUGGAUGUAUUAUGGGGAUGUAGCAUGUAAUCAGCUUCUUGGUGAUCAUCUGUCGCUUCUGAAGUAUCUGGACCAGUAUACUACUUCUGUGAUUAUGAGAGCUACUGGUUACCAGAAAGAACUGCACCCUACACUCUCUUCGUCAUCAGAAUCUGAUGAAAAGAACGAGAAAGGGAAAGACAAAGAGAAAGAGAAAGAGAAAGAGAAAGAGAGAGAGAGAGAGAGAGAGAGAGAGAGAGAGAGAGAGAGAGACGAAGUGGAUUACAAAAGAUGCAGAAUUUUGGAAGAAGUUCGCCGACUUCAAAGAGCAUCAUCAAAACUCUACGCUGUCUGCUACUCUUCACUUUGUCAAUGAUGCCCUCCCAUUCCUGCAACGUUGGGUUUUUGAAGCGGUCAAAGCUGAUUUGUAUGAGGAAGUCAAGGUUAUUUGUAGCAAGUUUAAAACUGCAUUGCAGAGGUAUAUUCAUCUAUUGUUGCUAGUUCCUGAUGUUUUCAUUGCUCUUCUAUCAUAGUAUGUUGCUCUUUUUGUCUAACAUCUUUGUUUCGUCAGAAUGAACGAGAUUGAAGCUGCGGAGUACGCUUGUGAUUGAUGGCCUGCCAGAAGGGUUGACAAACUGACAAAGCUGAAGCCUAUCUUCAAAUUUCUUAAUGAAAAUUGUCCAGAUUGGAGUCCGCCACAGCAAGAUCCAGUUGGACAGGCUGACCAACAGCAUGAUGAGGAUGAGGAGGAUGAACUAAUCAUGGCCAAAGGAAAGGGCGGCAAGGGCAGGAUGCAGUAUGUGAACCGUGAGGUCAAGGUCAAGGUCAAGGUCAAGCGGAAGCGGAAGGGCAAGGACAAGGACAAAAGCUAGUGUGUUGGUUUUACUGGUGCUGCACAUAGUUCUUGGUUAUACUUCUUCUGCACAUUAUUCUGGGUGGUUUUGAGUUUCCCCCUUGGAAGAUGGCCCAGUCAAUUAAUUGGGGGUGCUCUAAAAUUGCUUUCCAUGUUCUCUACCAUUUUGAAUUCGUUGAACUGAAAAUUGCAUUGCUCCUUGUGUUGCAAGUCCUAGUCAAAAGUUCAUUAUUACAAUUACCUUCAAGUGGAUCUGCUCUUUGCUUAUGGAAAAAAUUUCAGAGUGUGGUAGUCAGCAACAGUGUGAAUGGAAGGAGAUGCCUAAUUGUACCACAGUAGCAGUUGAUCAAGAUAUAAGAUGUGGGCAUGCCACUAGCGAGUCAGCCAUACCACCUGACAGUAAUAGUGUGUAAAAAUAUGAAACCCUAGAAUUAUGUGUUGUUGUAUGUUGUUUGAUCUGACCCUUGUGCAGGGUACAUAUAGGAGUACAAGAGGGGUAGAGACUUGGAGUACAAGACAAGUCACAUGUGGUUUAAACUAAUUCUAUCUUUAUCUCCUUAUCUCUAACUUAAACCCAAUUAUAUUUCUAACAUUCCCCCUCAGUCGUAGCGGGAGCGAAGCGGACGAGUACGAAUGGAUUUGAAGUCUUGCGCUUUCGUCGUCUUCUCCGCUGCGCCAUCAUCAACUGCGUCUCUGAUGGGUUGGCACCUAGGGCGGUGACUGCGUCCCCUUCUGGUGGAGUUGUUGCCGAUAUGUUGCUGUAGACGUAGCCAUUAAUGUCAAUGUCGAGGUAGCCGAUCAUGGUGAUGUAGCCGUGGUCGAGGUAGUCGUGGUCGAUGGUGUGGCCGUCAUGGAUGAUGAAGCCGCACAAAGCCGAAGGCGCAAAAAAAUGCGCUAUGGCGGGGCUGCAGACGUGGACGAUACACCUUGCGGAUGUCAGAGGGUGUCGUCGGCGAUGAGUCCGCCGGUUUUGCCAAGACCGGAGGAAGCCCAUCGAGCACACAUCGGUUUUGCCAGAACCGUGUGGCCAUAUAGGGUCGUCACUAUAGUGACGCCGUGUCGAUGCAGUCGUAUUGUCGUGGAUGACGCGGUCGAUGCCGUCGUCGUGGUCGCGCCUUGCAGAAAAAAAUCUGUCAGAGGACGCUAGUUGUCCAUCCUGUGGACGAGGCGGUGGCGGUGUGUCGACGAUGAUGUUGGUGAAGACCAUGUUGAUGAAGACCUUGGCGAUGAAGUGUCGGUGGUGCAGCGCCACCGACAUGUCGACAAUGAUGCGUCGCUUGGAGGCGUCCCUCGUGGCGACGGGGUGUCGAUGUCGUGUCGUGCUGAAGAAGUCGAUGAAGAAUUGCAUCUCGUUCCACACCGGCCUGGCGUGUGAACAGUGCAUAUUGAGGUCGCUUCUAGUAGGUGUGGUCGAUGAAGUAUGUUGGCUCGCGGACGGGCUAGUCGUACAGGUCGAUGAAGUGGCACAGGGUUGAUGCAGAGGCGUCGAUCGGUGGUGUAGAUGUCGAUGCAAUUGCAGCAGGCCGGCUCGGUGUAGAUGUGUUCGGCUUGGUGUAGUUCGGCUUGUUGGCGCGCAGGAGAUCGAUCGAGUCGGCCUGAUAGAGAUCGCGUCCGUGCGCGUGCAGUGUAGUCGAUGCAGAUCGUAAUUUGUGGGCUUGAUGCAGAUGGUUCAAUCGCUCGAUGCAGUUUGCCGUCGCGGUGCAGAUCGUUGUUGGUGUAGUCCCGAAACAGAAGUCGAUGUAGAGACAAUCCGUGUACGACCGGAGGCAUGGCCGACUAUCGGAGAUCCGAUCGAUCGAAGGCACCAGUAGUCGUCUGUAGACGCGUACGUGUAGACGAGACUGAAGCUUCAUCUGAGUGCAUGCACGUACCUCGGGCUACUGGUUGCUUCGUGUCCCACGUCCUGGGAGGCUGCGCAUGCACAUGGCCAAGUGCAUGAAUCAUAUGUGUGCGCAUCUGUUGAUGGAGCACUGCGCGUGUGUGCAUCCACCUCCACGACAAGCUCGCCAUACCUGUCUCUAUAGGUGCCGAGACAGCGCCGCCUUGGGUCGCGGCCGUAUAAGCCGCAUGCGGCCUGAAGUGAUCUGGACGAGGAUUUCUACACAACUUUCUCACCGAAUUUGAGGGUUGAGGGAUUUAUUGGUCGUGGCUACAGGAAACCAAUCUACUGGAAAUUCAAAAUUUGUGUAAUCUAACCUAUGAAUCGAUCUAAUCUAUAGAACCGAUCUCAUCUUUGACGAUCGGGUGCCCCGCCCCCAAGGAGAGGAGAUUAAUCUCCCCGGGAGCGGCGAGCUGCGGAAGCGGUGGAAGGUCCUAGGAUCGGCGUCGUUGGACAAACCGCUCUAAUACCAUGUAACAAUAUGAAACCCUAGAAUUAUGUGUUGUUGUAUGUUGUUUGAUCUGACCCUUAUGUAGGGUAUAUAUAGGAGUACAAGAGGGGUAGAGACUUGGAGUACAAGACAAGUCACAUGUGGUUUAAACUAAUUCUAUCUCUAUCUCCUUAUCUCUAACUUAAACCCAAUUAUAUUUCUAACAUAGUGCUUGGAAUCAGGUGGUCCGUUGGGAGGUACUACUCUUCAUGCUAUGGAAUCACAUAUGCUGCGAUUAUUUGUUCCUGUCUCAACCUCUCCUGGUUACACCAUUGUCAAUUAUCUGUGCAAUGUGAGCUUGAAUUGGUACUUGGGUGAGGUGCUCUGGGAUGUUAAGCAAUGGUGGUUGUAUGCAGUCAGCCCAAGCUUUCUUGAGACUUUAGGCAUGAGUGUUCUGAUAUGGGAAUUUCCUUGCAAGUGAGUGUUCAGAUCACCAGUACAGAUGGCAUGAGUGUUCUGAUCUGGGAAUUUUUAUCUCCUUGGAGUAACCUACAGGAAGGUGACACUAGUGGGACUGAAGCCAUGGAUUUCUUGGGAAUGUUUCUCUCUGGAAGAAUUUUCCAGCUUGCCAUAUUCUCUGUACUGGUGAUGUACGGAAGUGGUAGACGCACUUCAUUAUCUGCAGCUAUUUGAGGACAAAGUUGAAGCUUGGGUUUAGGAUGUUGUGCAACCUCCAUAGGAUUCCGGUGGCGCCAUACAACAUCGACUUGUGGGCAAGUCGAAUCUUAUGUGGGAGGGAUUGUUAGUGACCCUUCCUCUGACAUGGUGGGCCAUCGUCAUCAGGUGGGACCCAACACAGUUGGUACAAGGAGGUAACUAUAAGCUGGCGAGGAAGGACAUCAGGAAGCUAGGCUUGGAACAGAAUGACGGCUUUGGACGAGGCUUGUGUUGGCUAGGAUAGUUCCUGUUCAUCUUCUUCCUCAUGGUGAUUGAGUGGAAUAGAUAGGGAUCCUCAAAACUCCACUGGAAAUUUCCAGGUCUGAUAAGAGAUGGGGCAAUGAGUAGUGCACUCGUGAUGCUACAUGAUCAGAGAUCAGUGAUGGAAAUGGUCAAGCAUAUCACUAAUGCAGGUGUGAUGGACAUAUACAGCAAGAUACCUGAAGAUUUUUCAGAGGAAAUGCAUAGUGACUGCGAGUAUGCACAAGAGCAGCAACAACAUUCAGCUGGAGAAGGGCAGCAAGAACAUUCAGUUGGAGAAGAGCAGCAGCAACAUUCAGUGGAGCAGCAGCAACAUUCAGUGGAGCAGCAGGAAAGUGUAGGUGCAACUGAGCAGCAGUAUACUGCAAAUGCAGAGGAACAGCAGCAAGAGGCAGGUGCAGAGGAUCAUAUGGAAGAACCUUGGCAAUUUUCUGACAUGUAUUAUCAUCCUGGUAGGAUUUCUAACUUACCAGUGAGAAGAGGAAAAUCCGUUGUAGCUGAGGAGGAAGUAAACAUUGGUAAUCAUGAAUCUGAUAGUGACUAUGCUAUCCCCCUGCAGAGAGCAACAUCUCAGCAUCUGAUGAUGAAGUCUUGGAGCAUCUGAUGCAAGAAGAAGAGAAGAAGGUGAGAAACCACAGGGGAACAGGUUUUCAAAGAAAGGCAUUAAAAUUGGGGCGUGGAGUAUGUGAUCGUGAGCUCACAAGAGCUCGUUAUCUGUCCCGUCCAGUAUAACUUUGCGAUUCGUUGUAUUGAAUGCCUCUGACGGGUUGUGAGUCCAUCUAGAACAGAUAAAUUGAUAUAUGCAUGUGUACAGACCUGACUGGUGGGUCCUGUUCUACGCAGAUGUUGGGACGCCGCGGAUGGAGUGAGGCAGGGCCGUGGCUUGAGAUGCCACCGGUGUCCUGGUCCAUGGAUCAGAUCCUGUGCUCUCUGGUAACGACGGCAAUAGAUGGAGUAAAUGCAGGAGUGGGUUGCUGAGAGCAGCUGUCUCCUACCUCCCGAGAUUGGAUGCUCCAUUGGUGAAAGCGGCGAACCGGUGGAGGAGCCUCCUCCGACAAGGCGACUGGGCGCACCGGCGAGCAUGGAGUUCUUGAUGCAUCCAAUAAAUAGGUACUGAUCUGUUCGCUAUUGCUGCUGAUUCGCUACCGUUUUGAUUUAGGAUUUCCAGAAGAUUUGAUUUGUUUGCCGACUCUCUGUGCAAGCAGCAGAACUCUGCUAGAGGAGGUGAACGAGAACAACAUUGCCAUGGAGCCUCUUCACUACCCUGUGAGCACGCCGCCGGUGGUUGAGCUGCCGGCCAUGACGGCAUCAAAUGCAGAUGGCUAGAUCUGUGCUGAGGACGCUGCUCCAGACGGGUGCAGUGCAGAUAAGGCUCAAGCUUCAGAGCACUUCAUAGAUCAGGUUGACCCGAAAACUCCUGGCAGGACGCAAUGGUAUGCAGAAUAAGAUUGAAAAAUAACUUCAUUUGGGUUCGAACAUUGAGAUGGCCCUAUGUUGUAAAGCUAUAGUGUACACAUAUAUAUUCCAGUAGUGAUUAGAAUCACUUAUUGAAUGUCCAAAACUGAGCUUGCGUAAAAAGAAUUAAGUCUGUACAAAAUUAUCUAUGCCAUAACUAGUGAAUAUACUGGAACGAUUCUGGUGCAAACAUGAUGUGUGAAGGAUGAUAAAUUUAGUCGCUUUCACUCUAAAAGGGAACCGAUUCUCUGAACAUAUUUUCAUGCUAGCAGGUUUAUUUCCUCCAGCUAAACACAAGGAAAAUGGGAGGCCUAACACAAGUAGGGAGAAGGCACUGUAUGAAGGGUUAAGUAAAUGGACCAGAUUCUGCAGCAUAUGUCGGCAGCAAGGUCACAAGCAAACGGCCUGUCCAGAUCGAUGUACUGAAGCAGCCUCGCAAGCCAUCAAGGUAAGACUGAAGUAAUUGAUCAAUUUGGGGUACUUUAAUGAUCAGGUCCUUAGUUGUGUUCUAUCUGUAUAAUUAAGAUUUGUUGAGACUGUAUGAUUAUAACUUGUGUGUUACUCCUCUGCCUAGAAAAUAAAAUGCUUUUUAUUCGGCUUGCCUGGAUAGUUUCAGACUUAUAAGAGUGUUUGCCAAUGCUGAUGUUGUACUUUUUAUUACUGAAUUAAAUGUGUUGACUAUUAAUGAAUUGAUUCGAUGACUAGCUGUAGAUUGUGUUGUUCAGGUGAACUUGAUCCGCAGAUUUGAGGUGGUGUGUGAUACCAGUUAUUUCAAAAUCCAGCUGAUACAUGCUUUGAGUAACCAAAGACAGACAUAUGGCAUGUUUUGGGUCAAACAAGUUAAUUAAUGCAUUUAGUAGUGUUCCGUCAGGUGGAGCUAUCCUCGUGAGCGAGCUUGCAUUCGAAAUUCAAACAUCGUGGGCGGUAGAAGUGCAAAUGGUAAGAAACCUAUCUAUUAACUACAACAUCUUGAAGCUUUGGUUGCAUAGUGAUAACGUUAUGAAUUGAUGCAGAAAUGGAGGUGCCCUUCAUCGACUUGGUAACGAGUGUCCCGAUAACACAAACUGAGGAUCUUGGACCGGCGGCAAGUAUUCUCUACUCCCUCCGUCCCAUAAUGUAAGAUGUUUUUUGACACUGGGACGGAGUAGUAAAAAACAAUAGAAUAAGCUCGUGUAGAGGAUGGUAGACUAAGCUAUGCUGAUUGCAGAGGUGGAGGUGCCUUUCAUUGACUUGACCACAAGCAGUCUAGAUACAGAUGUGGACACAGGGGCUCCGCCUGGUAUGUCUGAUGCUCAUGUUGCAUAUGUUUGUUGAGCAAGAUCAAUCUUUGGAAACUGAUAAAAAAUGUCUUCUUGGUUAAACAAAUGACGCAGCGAGAUUGGCGCCUGUAAAGACAGAGGAUACAUCGGAUUGCCUAAAGUUUCAGACUGUCAUUGGUGGUAAGCAAGUUUGCAUAUGAACAUGUUCCAUGUAUGCGUUUUGCAAGGCUAUGUACAUUUGAAUAUGAGAAAACAACAUCUUGCAGGAGAACAAGUUAUUGGCUCUACCCCUGGCAAUUGAUGUACCUAUAGCAGCUCCUCACAGACGAGUAGAAGCAAUGCCAACAAUUCCGGCACAAGGUGGGUACACUGGAGGUAUAUUUCAAAACUGAUGUUCAUAAAUCACGUAGAUUCUGCUUGUAUGAAAACAAACUUUGCAAAUUAUGACAUGAACUGAGUGCUGAAAAUUAUGUUGGCGUAGGCAUGGAAGAGCAUGUCGUUCUAAUGUCACAGACAAGGAAUAAUGCAGAUGUUAUAGAGAUUGUGGUCAGACCGUCCGGCAAUAAAAUUGAACAGAGCACUCAGUGCUUGAAGUUUGAGACAAUGAUAGACGGUAAGUUCUGUAUCUGAAUGUGUGUAUAUCAUUUUGUGAAGUAGUUCAUGGUGGCUGAUUGCAUGCCAAAUCCAAUUUGUAUUUAGUAGGGCUGGCAUGUGUGGGGUCAUCACCACCACAAGGUUUUAGAAGCACUUCGCAAGCGCGAGGGAGUCAUUGCGUCUGAUCAAGUUAGGUCUGGUGAACCCAGAUGUGCUUCUAUUACCUAAUUCUGUACGGUCAUUCUAUACAAUGUAAAUGAUGCCAUGCUAACUCAAAUUGAUGGGUGGCCUGCAAUGCAGCCAGGUCAGAUGGCAAGCUGCCAUUGAACAUGUCGGCAGCAGCAGGCAUUAGGAGGCGGCAGAAGAGGUGUGCAAACAGGGGCAGCAGGCAGUAUCGUCAGAGGAGAUGCCUAACGCCAUCAAGCAGGCAUUUGUCACCUCGAAAAGCUCUGAUGAAUAUGAAGAUCCGGCUGCAAUCAAGCUACAGGUAUUGGCAGAGCUGAACUUUAGCAGUGAUAUUUGUUCACUUUGGAAAAUAGUAGUACUAAUCAUUAUGUUUGUCAGGUGCCACACCCAGGAAAGAGGACAAAGAAGCAAGCAGGGCCUACUCCAGCAAGGCCAACAUCAGUGCCCAGAACUGCUUCUCAACCAGUUGGAAGGGGAAGCCGGAGGAGUCACAACAGGGCAGGUUGAAGCUACAGAUAGCCUGCUCCAGGAGUUCAAGCUCACAGCAAGUCCGAAGGCAUAACAGCACUG
rnacentral:lncRNA from 1 species